rnacentral:lncRNA from 1 species
AUCAUUGAAUCACCAUGUCUUUUAUUCAUCACGGAAUAAAACAGCUUCCUCACGGGGGUAUUAUUUUAUUUUAGGAGUGCACAAUAUGCAGGCACUUUAGUACUUAGACAAAGACAUAAGUAUAUAUCCCUUUAUCAUAGACAGUUCACAGGUCCGGGUAAUUGUGUUUCACCAGACGAGCAAGUGGGAGACCAUCGGACAUCGGAGCCACACGACAAACAGUAAGCCCGUCUGUUAUCUUCACCUGGCUCGUUCCACUGCUGAAAAUCAAGUCAAGCAGCGCACCUGCAGCGAUCCCAAUUACCACACCAAUUCCGAUUCCGACGACUGCUCCGAUUACUGUGAGAGCUACAGAAGCGAUUUCGAUGUUAAGUGCUAUGAAUCGAGCUUCUAUAGCAGCUGUUGCUAGAUCUCCCACCACAAGGCUAACUACUGCAGUUAAUGCAUUCACUGAAUUCCUAACCGCUGCCUCCAUCUUGUCCUCUGCCGUGAAUAUGUCCCACACCAUUACACCUGCUGUAAAAAGCAACACUGCAACCCCGACUUUUCCCAAAGCUUCGAAUGUGUAAGUCACCACGGGUUUUCCUUGACCGGCUUGUGCAAUAAUUUUGUCAUAUACCUGGAAAACAUGCAGUGAUAUCCUGUAUCAAUUUCGCACCAUACAUAGGUUAAAAAAUGGACUUGGAAUCACCAAAUGCAACUACUUCAAUUCAAUUUAGUUUAGUCCAUCAAAUCGGAGCUCAUAAGAAUACGCCAUAUAUGUAUAUUUCUAUAUAUAUCUUGACUGUUGAUUAUUUGAAACAUAUUUUUUUAUGUCCCGAUUUCUUUCCUUUUAAAACCUUUUGUUCACACUGCAGUACCACAAAUAAUCUAUUUAAAAAAUAGAAUAUUAUUUAAAUACUGAGACAAAAAUUGUACUAUGGGGGACCUUAAACAUUGUUAAUUAAGAAAUUAAUUUAUGAUAAACCUUUAAAGGGCAAGGUUUAGAGUAUAAGUUAGUUCAUACCUGUAGCUUCUGUAUAUCACCCAAGUUCUUGAAAGCACCCCUAAAACCAAGUUUGCCCAUAUUACUGCAAGUACAGUGGGACAAGGAGAAAACAUAUUAGUGCAAUUACAUGCACUGCAGCAAAAGUGUUGUCGUUAAGUCUAAAGAUUAAACAAUGAUUGUGUUCUCUAAGUGAUUCCAAAACUUAUUUUCAUAUUUCAGCAAUGUUAAGCAAGUACAACAGAAUUUGGAAAAAAAUUCAGCAAAGUUCACUAUAUUACCAACUUGAUAAAAUAAGUUUGAAUAACCAAGUGGCUUAAUCCAAUAGUUUUGGGUUAAAUUAUCAUGAAUUUUGUUUUGAAUUCCCAUCGUGUAAAAUUGUAAUGUUAAUAAUAAUAAUAAUAAUAAUAGCAAUAAUAAUAAUAAUAAUAAUAAUAAUAAUAAUAAUAAUAGCAAUAAUAAUAACAAUAGCAAUAGAAAUAACAAUAACAACAACAAUAAUACUACUAAUAGUUAUAAUGAUGAUGGUGAUGAUGAUGAUGAUGAUGAUGUAGGGACAUACUCUUGCACAAGAUCCUCAAACAAGAUUUUACUCUCCUUGAGCCAUUUUGAGAAUUGAUUUGGUACAAAAUGCUGAAACUUUUUGGCAUUAUCAAGCGCAGCUUUCUUAUACAUGCCGGCCUCAAGAGCAAGGCGCCGAGCUUCCUUCUGUUGGGUGGCUGGAUUGAGCCACUUUAGCUGUUUGAUGAGGUCUUCACUGUGGGUCUUGAGCUUGUCAAGGUAGGUGAGACGGGUAUUGUAACUACGGAUUAAUUGGAGGGAUGUUCCGAUGGCCUUGGUGCAGUAGUCAUACACAUCCUUGGCAAUAGAUUGCUUGGCGGGGUCCUCGGUUUGUUUUAUCAUAUCCUGUGCACUAUCAAGGACAUGGUACACCUUAUCACGGGCAUCUUUCGCGUCUUUGAGAUACUUUUGCUGCUCCGCGUAUGACUGGAACUCGAGCUCUAGAAGCUUCUCCACUUCUUGUCGGUGGAUCAAAUCAGCUAGCUUAUAUGAAGCUGCCCUGGACUUAAAUCAACUGGAUCACGAGACAUGAUGUACGCGGUACACCUGAAAAAAAUACAACCAAAAAAAGUCAAAGGGAGAGACGGAAGGAUACAAGACACUAGGAUUCGAUUGUAUACAGACACGAAAUUAAAUAAUAACUGCGCCGCCUUCACGUAGGGGGCUGAAUUUGCGCAUGGGUCUUCUUGUGUUUACACAUAACAUCUACCGUGUGGCUUGGGUCGACGAUGGUAUCUGAUGAAGUCGAAGUCGCUUGCUCGGAGAUUAGAAAGGACGAUGACGCAUAUUGGAGAGAAAUUAUAACCAUGACGCCGGAGUGCUAGGUUGUUGAGGCCAUGUAUGUUGACGUAUGGGUGAAGUUUUAUGUGUGUGCCGCUUAGCUGUUUGUGAUGGUUUUCGUUCAGUUUUUCAUCAAUUAACUAGAUAACUCUCUUCAAUAUUUAAGUAAGGAAGGGAAGGGAAGGGAAGAAGCAUUCACCUUGGCCUUAUUUAAUUAACUAGAUAACUACAUCGAGUGGUUUAUUUGAUGUGUCCGUUUCAGCGCGCUGCACAAAAAUAAAAUCACAUGUGAACCAUCAACAGUCGGAUCUGAAACCUCCUGACGCCGGCGCCGGCACCUCCGUCCACUCCUGCUGUCAGCGUUUCCCACACCUCUCCCCAGCGCGCUGCAGNNNNNNNNNNUGACACGAAAUAAAAUAAUAACUGCGCCGCCUUCAUGUAGGGGGCUGAGUUUGCGAAUGGGUCUUCUUGUGUUUACACAUAACAUCUACCGUGUAGCUUGGGUCGACGAUGGUAUCCGAUGAAGUCGAAGUCGCUUGCUCGAAGAUUAGAGAGGACGAUGACGCAUAUUGGGGAGAAAUGAUAACCAUGACGCCGGAGUGCUAGGUUGUUGAGGCCCUGUAUGUUGACGUAUGGGUGAAGUUUUAUGUGUGUGCCGCUUAGCUGUNNNNNNNNNNNNNNNNNNNNNNNNNNNNNNNNNNNNNNNNNNNNNNNNNNNNNNNNNNNNNNNNNNNNNNNNNNNNNNNNNNNNNNNNNNNNNNNNNNNNCUUCAUGGAGAUCUAACCGAUGUAAUCUUCUUUGGCGGUGUGUUUGUCGAGAUCUGAUGAAUUAUGGAUUUGUGAUCAGAUUAUCUAUGAUUUAUAUUUGAGUCUUUGUUGAUUUCUUAUAUGCAUGAUUUGAUAUCCUUGUAAGUCUCUCCGAGUCUUGGGUUUUGUUUGGCCAACAAGAUCUAUGAUUCUUGCAAUGGGAGAAGUGCUUGGUUUUGGGCUCUGCCAUGUGGUGACCAUUCCCAGUGACAGUAGGGGUAGCAAGGCACACAUCAAGUAGUUGACAUCAAGGCUAAAAAAGAUGAGGUUUUUAUCAUUGGUUUGAGAUUAUCCCUCUACAUCAUCAUCUUGCUUAAGGCGUUACUCUGUUCUUAUGGAGUUAAUACACUAGAUGCUUACUGGAUAGCGGUCGACGUGUGGAGUAAUAGUAGUAGAUGCAGACAAUAUCGGUCUACUUGUUUUGGACGUGAUGCCUAUAGAAAUAAUCAUUGCAUAGAUAUCGUCACGAGUUUGCGCAGUUCUAUCAAUUGCUCGACAGUAAUUUGUUCACCCACCGUCUACUUGCUUUCAUGAGAGAAGCCACUAGUAAACACUACGGCCCCCGGGUCUAUUCACAUCAAUUGUUUACAUCUCCGCUCUUACUUUGCUUUGUUACUUUGUUGCUUUCAGUUCUCACUUGGCAAACAAUCUAUAAAGGAUUGACAACCCCUUCAUAGCGUUGGGAGCAAGUUUUCGUGUUUGUGCAGGAUAUUGAGAUACUGCUUCACUAGAUUGAUACCUUGGUUCUCAAACUGAGGAAAAUAAACCGACGCCUCCGUCACACUGGAAUCUGGAUCUUUGCUCCUAAACCGAUGCCGACUGCCCAACAUACUGCAAUCUACUUCGGAAUGACAUUCAUCUCCUGGUCCUCUAAACGUCAUGCGACGGUCUCGCGCUCUAGCGUGGAGGCUGAAUACCAUGACAUUGCCGAGGGAGAUUGUUGAUUUGUUGCCGACCUUGAGCAUGACAUACUUUUUUUCUGCCGUCUGAUCUGAACUCACCAAGCAGCAAAUUCCCUGACAGAUAGUGGUGGUAGCUGUGCCGUACACUGCUUCGUAUCACCAGGUUGCUAUGUAACUGGUAUCACAGACUUCCGACGAUGCUGUUCAGUGCCAGAUAUAAGGUGACAUCACGAACGUGUGGNNNNNNNNNNCCAUAGCAUUGGGAGCAAGUUUUUGUGUUUGUGCAGGAUCUUGAGAUACUGCUUCACUGGAUUGAUACCUUGGUUCUUAAACUGAGGAAAAUAAACCGAUGCCUCCGUCACACUGGAAUCUGGAUCUUUGCUCCUAAACCGAUGUCGACUGCCCAACAUACGGCAAUCUACUUCGGAAUGGCAUUUAUCUCCUGGUCCUCUAAACGUCAUGCGACGGUCUCGCACUCUAGCGUGGAGGCUGAAUACCAUGACAUUGUCGAGGGAGAUUGUUGAUUUGUUGCCGACCUUGAGCAUGACAUACUUUGUUUCCGCCGUCUGAUCUGAACUCACCAAGCAGCAAAUUCCCUGACAGAUAGUGGUGGUUGCUGUGACGUACACUACUUCGUAUCACCAGGUUGCUAUGUAACUGGUAUCACAGACUUCUGACGAUGCUGUUCAGUGCCAGAUAUAAGGUGACAUCACGAACGUGUGGGCCAUGACCGCUGAGAACCUAAACUUCGUCAAGGAGCAGCGGACGCAUGCAAUACUCACGUCGUACCGUUGGACGCAGACGGGGCUUGUUCGCGCCGCUACGACCACCAAACCUCCACGGAUGACAGCCAGGUUGCGUACUUAAUUAGAGAAAGAGUAGGGCAUGAUAGACUGCGAUGCCUUCUGUCUCACGUGUCACGUGGGCCAGUCUAUGUCCCAUGUCCUAUUCUAGCUUGCUCACGAAUGCACCUUUAGUUUCUAGGCACUAGUGGGGACGGGGCCUUUAGCCCCGGUCCGUAAGGGGCUUUAGUCCCGGUUCACCAACUUUGUGCUCUGUUACAAGCCUAACCUUUAGUUCCGGUCCUGUUACAAGCCGGGUCUAAAGGUGCUCCACGUGGGCGCCUUGUAGCGCCCCAGGGGUAGGACCUUUAGUCCCGGUUCGUUACACGGGCCNNNNNNNNNNACAGAAGGGGCUUUAGUCCCGGUUCACCAAAUUUGUGCUCUGUUACAAGCCUAACCUUUAGUACCGGUCCUGUUACAAGCCGGGUCUAAAGGUGCUCCACGUGGGCGCCUCGUAGCGCCCCAGGGGUAGGACCUUUAGUCCCGGUUCGUUACACGGGCCGGGACUAAAGAGUUUCCGAUUUUGCUUAUUUUUGGGUUUUUUUUAAUGAAAUUAUUUUUGGGUUUUAGGGUUUUAGGGUUUAGGUGUUCGGGAGAUUAACGUGAUGCCUGGUUUGGUGUUCGGGAAUUAGUUUUCAUAUAAUUUAAAUAGAAAUAAUUAUGCAUAUAUAUAUAAGGUUAACUUAUCUUACAAGCGAGCAUAUAUAUANNNNNNNNNNNNNNNNNNNNNNNNNNNNNNNNNNNNNNNNNNNNNNNNNNNNNNNNNNNNNNNNNNNNNNNNNNNNNNNNNNNNNNNNNNNNNNNNNNNNNNNNNNNNNNNNNNNNNNNNNNNNNNNNNNNNNNNNNNNNNNNNNNNNNNNNNNNNUGAACACGGAACACUAAAUCGUCAUUUGUCAUCUAUAGCUUCCAUCCUCAGAAAGGUCGCAAGCUCCUCUGCAACAGCAAUCGCGCGUUGCUCUGGUAGGACCUUCGUCGUCAUGGCCGUGUGCUAUAUAAAAGUGGAGAUGAAUAUGAAUAUCAAUCAUGAUAACAAAAAAUGACGGGUAAAAAUAGAGGUGUGAAUGUUCAUUGCUUACGUCGAAUCUGUGAUCAUUGUGCUCAGAGGUAAACGUGCGAAUGGUCUCGCAAACAUAGUAUCCGNNNNNNNNNNCGAACAUCAGUAAUGGCCCCUAGCUACACUAAAUCGUCCUUUGUCAUCUAUAGCUUCCGUCCUCAGAAAGGUCGCAAGCUCCUCUGCAACAGCAAUCGGGCGUUGCUNNNNNNNNNNUCAUUGCUUACGUCGAAUCUGUGAUCCUUGUGCUCAGAGGUAAACGUGCGAAUGGUCUCGCAAACAUAGUAUCCGCAUAGAUGCGUUCCCCGUGGCUGCUGGUCGCACUUUACGAGGAUAGAAUAUAUAUAAUCAAAAUAAUAAUCUAGCAUCAUAAAUGUAUUGAAAAUAGAAGUAUAUCAUACUACUACUUACCUGAGCCGCUCUAAAGGUNNNNNNNNNNNNNNNNNNNNNNNNNNNNNNNNNNNNNACCCUGCCCGACAAGGAUAAUGAUUUGCUAAGUUUUUCAUUAGUUGAUAUAUCAGAAAAUCAUCGAAAGAGACCGAUAGAGCGCAAGAAUGAUUGAAAUUACCCUUGGAGCAUGUCAUGCACGCUUUGGAACUGUUCCAAGGGUCUCGAUAAUGGGUCGAAGGCAUCAACNNNNNNNNNNNNNNNNNNNNNNNNNNNNNNNNNNNNNNNNNNNNNNNNNNNNNNNNNNNNNNNNNNNNNNNNNNNNNNNNNNNNNNNNNNNNNNNNNNNNAGAGAUGAGUUCUCGUUCGAAACCCUGAUACUUCGAGAGAGAUUGUCCAUUUUGUACACGACGUGCAUCCAGUUUUUGUCGUAGCUCUCUCAACUUUUUAACAGAUGCUAUGUGGGUGAAAUGAUGAUAGCAUGCCAACUUUCAACAUUUUCAGAGUUCAUUUGUAAUGCUUUUCAAUUUCAGGGUCAACUAGCUCAAAAAAAAAAAAGUAAAUGCACGAAAUAUACCAAAUGAAGUCAGAAAUUGUUGAAAUUUUCUGAUGUGCCUUUGAAUGAUGCAUUUUGAACACACAAAAAGUAUGGAGUUCAAAUAAGUUUAAAAAAAUGAAAUCCCUUUGUAAGAGUUGAGUUCUCGUUCAAAACCCUGAUACUUCGAGAGAGAUUGUCCGUUUUGUAGAUGGAGUGCAUCCAGUUUUUGUCGUAGCCCUCUCAACUUUUUAACACAUGNNNNNNNNNNNNNNNNNNNNNNNNNNNNNNNNNNNNNNNNNNNNNNNNNNNNNNNNNNNNNNNNNNNNNNNNNNNNNNNNNNNNNNNNNNNNNNNNNNNNNNNNNNNNNNNNNNNNNNNNNNNNNNNNNNNNNNNNNNNNNNNNNNNNNNNNNNNNNNNNNNNNNNNNNNNNNNNNNNNNNNNNNGUCAAAAAAAUAAGUAAAUGCACGAAAUAUACCAAAUGAAGUCAGAAAUUGUUGAAAUUUUGUGAUGUGCCUUUGAAUGGUGCAUUUUGAACACAUAAAAAGUAUGGAGUUAAAAUAAGUUCAAAAAAAUGAAAUCCCUUUGUAAGAGAUGAGUUCUCUUUCGAAACCCUCAUACUUCGAGAGAGAUUGUCCGUUUUGUACACGAAGUGCAUCCAGUUUNNNNNNNNNNNNNNNNNNNNNNNNNNNNNNNNNNNNNNNNNNNNNNNNNNNNNNNNNNNNNNNNNNNNNNNNNNNNNNNNNNNNNNNNNNNNNNNNNNNNNNNNNNNNNNNNNNNNNNNNNNNNNNNNNNNNNNNNNNNNNNNNNNNNNNNNNNNNNNNNNNNNNNNNNNNNNNNNNNNNNNNNNNNNNNNNNNNNNNGUAAAUCCACGAAAUAUACCAAAUGAAGUCAAAAAGUAUGGAGUUCAAAAAACCAUAUUAUGAAAUUAAAUAUUAUCAUUGGCGAUUCAUCUCUAUUAUGAAAUUCAAUAUAUCAAAAAACCAUUGCAGAACAUAUGACCAAAUUAAUACAAGUUCAUCAUCACAUUAAAGCCAAAGAACAGUAGUGAUCAAAUGUUAUUAUUGCAAAAAAUAAAUAUGUAAAGUUCUCUCAUAAAACAACAUGCAACUAUGUAAAACAUUUAAAUGCAACAACAAACGCGAUCAAAAUCGCAACUAAGGUAACAAUUGACCCAACAGCAUAAUGAUACCAAGCCUCUUUAUCAAUGGCAUAUUUUCUAAUAUUCCUAAUCUUCAAGCGCAUUGCAUCCAUCUUCAACCGCAUCGCAUCGAUCUUCAUCUUGCGAUCAUCGAUGACAUCGGCGACACACAACUCCAGUUCCAUAUUCUUAUCCUCAAUUAUUUUCAAUUUUUUCUNNNNNNNNNNCUCAAACGCAUUUCAUCCAUCUUCAAGCGCAUUGCAUCCAUCUUCAACCGGAUCGCAUCGAUCUUCAUCUUGCGAUCAUCGAUGACAUCGGCGACAUACAACUCCAGUUCCAUAUUCUUAUCCUCAAUUAUUUUCAAUUUUUUCUUCAAGUAUUUGUUUUCUUUUUCAAUCAAAUUUAACUUCUCGACAAGAAUUUUUAUGUGGGUUGGAAUUUCCGGUUCACAUACCUCCUAGAUUAAAAAAACAUAUGUCACAUUGGUCGUCAUAAUUGUCAUAAACACUAAAUAAAACAAAUAGUUAUAAAAGAUAAUAUAUACCACAUCCGAAUCAUAGACAGGACAAGGGCCGACGGAGGCGGAUACCAAAACCAUCCCACUAUAUAAUAACAAAAAAUAAUGAAAGUGAGUAAUUUAUACAAGUAUAUAUCUAAAUCAUACAAGUAAGAUUUUUUUUCUUUUAAAAAGAAGAUAAGAACAAGAGGCUCACCAGGGUGGUGCUCGCGACGAGAUCGGCACGGGGCGAUCGACAAUGAUGAGGACGGGCACGGAACGACACCCUACGCAUGUGCAGACUCUAAGUAGUUAAUUUAAGCAUUUGAAAUGAGCUACACUAGAAGUGACAAAUGAAAGGAUGAAGUAGCUAACCUUUUAAAAAACUUGUGCAGUUGGUGCACGACCAAACCUAGACAAAUAUUAAGGAAAAUGGAGCUUGGAGGUUGAGCUAGGAGAGGAGAAAGCUUAAGUAGAGUGGCUCAGGCAUUUCAUCGAACACGUCAUGUGCAUGAACUAGAGUGGCAAGAGCANNNNNNNNNNNNNNNNNNNNNNNNNNNNNNNNNNNNNNNNNNNNNNNNNNNNNNNNNNNNNNNNNNNNNNNNNNNNNNNNNNNNNNNNNNNNNNNNNNNNUGCACGCCCCGGGACUAAAGGCCCUGCUUCCUGCCUUCUGGUCUGCCGAAGAAGGGCCUUUAGUCCCGGGUCGUGGCUCCACCCGGGUCUAAAGGGUGUCUUUAGUCCCGGUUCAAGCCACGCCCGGGACUAAAGCCCCCUGCUUCUCGCCUUUUGGUCUGUCGAAAAAGGGCCUUUAGUCCCGGGUCGUGGCUCCACCCGGGACUAAAGGGUGUCUUUAGUCCCGGUUCAAGCCACGCCCCGGGACUAAAGCCCCCUGCUUCCCGCCUUUUGGUCUGCCGAAAAAGGGCCUUUAGUCCCGGGUCGUGGCUCCACCCGGGACUAAAGGGUUCUUUAGUCCCGGAUCGAGCCCCGAACCGGGACUAAUGAUCCACCUGUAUAAGCGGGAGUUAGAAAAUUUCGAACCCAAAUCAUCCAUUUCUCUUCUUCUUCCUCUCGUUCUCCUGCCCGGCGCGCACAGCGACGAACUCGACGACGCCGUCAGGCUGUCCGCCGUCCUGCUCGCCGCCGUCUGCCGUCCUCCUCGCCGUCGCUGUCGUCCUGCUCGCCGCCGCCGUCCUCCUCGCCGCGCGCCGCCGUCCUCCUCGCGUGCCGCCGUCCUCCUCGCCGCGCGCCGUCGACACCUCCGGUAAGCCCCACACCCCCUCCUCCCCAACACUCCGGCCAGCACAAGCAAAGAAGAAACAGGAGAAGAAAAGAAGAAAAAGGAGAAGAAAGGAGGAAAAAGGAGAAGAAAGGAAGAAAAGCGAAGGAGAAGAAAAAAAGAAAAAGGAGAAGAAAAGAAGAAAAAGGAGAAGCAAGGAAGAAAAAGGAGAAGAAAGGAAGGAAAAGGAGAAGAAAGGAAGAAAAAGGGAAGAAAAGAAGAAAAAGAUUUUUUUUGUCAUUUAAUUCCUAUUGUUAUUAGGUUUGUGCUAGAUUAUUAGGGUUAGUAAUAUGUAGAAUUAGGAAAAAGGAAAAUAAGAAGAGGAGGAAAAGAAAAGAAGAAAAAGGAGAAUAAGAAGAGGAGGAGAGGAGAAGAAGAGGAAAAAUAGAAGAAGAGGAGAGGAGAAGUAGUAGAAGAAGAGGAGAAGUAGAAGUAGAAGAAGAAGUAGAAGAAGAGGAGAAAUAGAAGAAGAGGAAAAAUUAGUUUAGGGUUACAAGAAGAAGAAAUAUUUUUUUGUCAUUUAAUUUUGCUAUUGUAUAGUGUAUAUGCUUAAGUGUUAAUAGUGUUUCUUAGAUUAUUGUUUAAUUUUGCUAUUGUAUAUGCUUAAGUGUUAAUAGUUUAAUUUUGCUAUUGUAUAUGCUUAAGUGUUAAUAGUUUAUUUUUAGCAAGAAAAUUAAUAGAACUAGUUUAAGUUUGCUACUGUAUAUGCUUAAGUGUCCGGGACUGGGCUCCGCCCGGCUGGUAUUUUAGAGUUUAGGUUCUAGCCAAGACGCGGGACUAAAGGUCAUUCUAUAUAAAACGACACUUCAAAGUUUCCAACCCCUCUUAUAUAUUUGUUAGUUUAUUAGUUAAUCAAAUGUCCGUUUUUUGCAGAACUAUGGAUCCACAUAUCAGGAACCUCGAAGAGGAAGAACUUCUCGAAGAUAUAAUCAAAGACGGCCCCGACGUUGAACCAGCUGAAUCUCCGUCGUCAUAUCUAAACGGCUCCGGAUACAAAGCGGGAGCGUGCCAGCAAGAAUGCUCCGCCGACGAUUCCUAAGCCACGGAGCACCCCAAAGCGCAAACGGUCGCCCCUCCCAAAGGUACGUCAUGCUAAUCUUCCUAUCAGACCUUAUGAUCGUACCCUCGAGGAAAACGGCAGGAUAGCAAAGGAACAUCAUGAUGCGCAGAUGAAAAAGAAGGAACCCGAGCCCCGCCCGGAAUACACCGAGAAGCAAAUAGCAUUUGCAAAAUACUUCACGACCCUUCCAUCACAGUAUGACUUACACCAUAAGCCUGAUGACUAUACACGCACAUUGCAGAAGGAAGUGAAAAAGANNNNNNNNNNUGCAAGUGAGAGCAAAUCAAGUUCAACUACAAGCAAGAAAAAAUCAGACGUUCCUCAGCUUGGACAACAGGCAAAACAGUCGAUCCCACCGCUCAAGGUGUUAACCGAGAAUGUUCCCCCUCCGGUGCAGGGGCUAGCUUUUGAAAGAGCAAAGGAGUUGGCAGCUGAAUGUGGUGUCUCGGUUGAAGAUUUGCUGGCUUCCCAAGAUGACAGGAUACCCAAGGCUGUGGUAGCCCCUAAGCCACAGUUUUUCAUGGGUGAGCCUUUAGUCAGCAAAGAUGAUCUCCCAAAAAAUAUGCGUUACUUGCAUCAAUGGUACUUAAGUGAAUCAAAGAAUGGGAGAACGAUGAUCGUGCUGAGUGUCCCACAGGAGUAUUACGGCCGCCCCGAACAAAUCCAUAUCGACUUUGAUGAACUCUUUCAGAUGUACAAUGGCGACGCCCUCGACAAAUCACUUAUGAGUUGCUAUUGUCUGUAAAUUUUUCAAUUCGUUGUCUACAUAUAACUUGUUUAGUUAUUUCAAUUCAUUGUCUAUAUAUAACUUGUACUCUAUUAUGCAGAAUAAAGAUUCUGGAUUGUAAAAGUAAGAGCAUCCUAAAUAUUGGGUUUAUUGACCCAGAUAAAAUACAUAUAGCGACGCUAACUGAUUAUCCCAAGGAGACGGAGGAAAACCUUGUUUCUAACAGAUCAAAAUUUCUGUGACCACAUACUGUUUCCAUACAACUUCAGGUGAGGGUCUUUACUCUGUUGUGUCCAUUCACUUAUAAGUGUAACUGAUAAGUUACUGACACACAUAUAUAUAUACAUGUGCAGCUUCCAUUGGAUUCUGUUGGACAUUCAAAUUGAUAAGGGAAGAGUUGAUGCCUUCGACCCAUUAUCGAGACCCUUGGAACAGUUCCAAAGCAUGCAGCACAUGCUCCAAGUGUAAUUUUAAUCAUUCUUGCGCUCUAUCGGUCUCUUUCGAUGAUUUUCUGAUAUAUCAACUAAUGAAAAACUUAGAAAAUCAUUAUCCUUGUCGGGCAGGGUUUGGAAUCGGUUCAAGUGCCUGACUCCCGGUAACUUUCGUGAGAAGCUGACCUUUAGAGCGGCUCAGGUAAGUAGUAGUAUGAUAUACUUCUAUUAAUUUUCAAUACAUUUAUGAUGCUAGAUUAUUAUUUUGAUUGUAUAUAUUCCACUCUCGUAAAGUGCGACCAGCAGCCACGGGGAACGCAUCUAUGCGGAUAGUAUGUUUGCGACACCAUUCGCACGUUUACCUCUGAGUUCAAGGAGCAAAGAUUCGACGUAAGCAAUGAACAUUCACACCUCUAUUUUGACCCGUCAUUCUUUGUUAUCAUGAUUGAUAUUCAUAUUCAUCUCCUCUUCUUAUAUAGCACGAGGCCAUGAGGACGAAGGUCCUACGAGAGCAACGCGCGAUUGCUGUUGCAGAGGAGCUUGCGGGAUUUCUGAGGACGGAAGCUAUAGAAGACAAAGGACGAUUUAGUGUAGCUAAGGGCCAUUACUGAUGUUUGUCCAUGUAAUCGAAUAGACGGGCUCUAGUCCCGAUAAUUCAGAUCUACAUAUAAUUGUAUAUGAGCUUGUAAGAUGAGUUAAUCUUAUAUAUAUAUAUGCAUAAUUAUUUCUAUUUUAAUUAUAUGAAAACUAAUUACCGAACAAAAAACGAGGCAUCACUUUAAUCUCCUGAACACCUAAACCCUAAAACCCUAAAACCUAAAAAUAAUUUCAUUAAAAAAAAGCCAAAAACCAGCAAAAUCUGAAAAUCUUGAGUCCCGGUCCGUGUAACGAGCCGGGACUAAAGGGCCUGCCUCUGGGGCGCUACGAGGCGCCCACGUGGAGCACCUUUAGUCCCGGCGUGUAAGAGGGCCGGGACGAAAAGGUUAGGCCUUUAGUCCCGCCCCUUUAGUUCCGGUUGGUGAAUCGGGCCUAAAGCCCCUUACGGGUCGGGGCUAUAGGCCCUGUUCCCACUAGUGAAGGUGGUGUGUACGCAAUUGGAGUGGAUGGCUAUGGAGGUUUUUCCCAACAUGAAUGGCAUCAUAACCUCCAUAUUGGUUCAUCAUCUUUUUGAAAUAGGCAUAGUGAGGGUCCUAUUUGACUUUACUAGUGCCGACAUGUCCAUUUUUUAAUCUUUUUGUCUUGUUUUAGACUGUGUGUGUUUGGCUAUGUCCAUCAAGCUAUGUAGAGGCCGCGUCUUGGUCAUCAUGAAUUGUAUUCACUUCAUGCUACAUUUUAAGUUAAUAAAAGUUCCCUUUAUACAAACAAAAUUCUCCAUCAAGGCUAAUUAGCCUUGCGCCCUACCAAAUGAGCUAGACGGGUGAGCUAGAGGCCGCGCGCACGAUGUGCACCUCAAUCUGUUGUUGUUGUUGGAAAUGGGUGCGUCGGAUUCGGAGGACGAGGUGGGUGGUGUGAUACCCACCUCUCAGCCACAUACCGCAUGGUUCUUAUGGUGUGAUCGUCGGAUUCGGAGGAGGCCAGGUUGAGCACCGGGUUGAUUAUGGUGGCGGGAAGUCGCUCUCAGCCACAUAGCGCAUGGUUCUUUCUUUUCUUCAGAGCUUACAUCGACGAGGGAAGAGAGAAUACUUUGCUAGGCCAGAACUUGUCGGCUUUGCCAACUGCGCAGUGAUGGGUCCAACCCUUCGAUUAACCAUUUGUUUUCUGUUAGAAAAUGCGUGUGUUUUAAAUUUUAUACUGUUACGGAAUGUCGCAUGGAAAACAAAAUUUUUGCUAUGCACAUGCAAUACCUAUCCAUGAUGAUGAUCAUCUACGAGAGAGUAGAGUGAAUCUACAUACCCUUGUAGAUCGCUAAGCGGAAGCGUAUAUAACGCGGUUGAUGUAGUGAAACAUCUUCACGAUCCAAAUCGCAGCCCGUCCCACGAUCUCAACACGAUCCGUCCUGCGAUCUCAUCACGAUCCAUCCCGAUCUAGUGCCGAACGAACGGCACCUCCGCGUUCAGCACACGUACAUCUCGGUGACGAUCUCCAUCUUCACAGUCCUGGGACACACAGUCACGGGACACACAGUUCCGGGACACACGGUUCCUACCGUAUUCUCCUUGAGCUAAGGACACACAGUCCUCGCCCAACACUCAUCGUAAGUCUUCAGGCAUACUUCCAAACCCUCACAAACUAGGUGACCCGACAAUCCACAAUUGACUGCUGGAUGCUCUAGACGAUGACGCCUAACCAUCUGGUGAAUGCACAGUCCUCAAAGGUUACAAGCAUCGGUUCCACACAAGAAUAACUUCUUCGGAGAUGCUCAAUAACUUGGGUUUUGGUUUGGGUUUGAGUGUUUGAGGUAUUUCCUUACUUGAUGAUUUUCGCUCAAAGGCUUUGAGGAAUUUGGGUUGUUCUAAAUGACUAGUGUCAGUUUCUCUCAGAGCAGCCAACCAGCUAGUGGUUGUGGGGGCGGCUAUUUAAAUUUUGGGAGCAUUCCGACAUGAUUUGACAUAAAUGCCCUUAAUGAUAUGAACGUUGCGUGGAUAAGAUUUGGGACAGGUGGCGCGUGGCGCGGCAACGGUCGGAACUUUCAAUUGUGAAAGUCCUCGUGUAUCUCAUGUACCUCACUCUGAGGAUUUAAUAGGUGUAGGUUUGGGUUGAGCAUCAUGAGGAAAUUCUUUCGGUAGUUUUACCUUGACCCCCUUUAACAGUACGGUGUUCCUAUAACUCGAGAAUAAAGAAAAUGAAACAGAAAGAGUAAAUCUUCACGCUUCAAAGUCUUCAGAGUAUUUUCAUCGGGACACACCGAAUUUCUCAUCUUUAAUAUCAUUAAGAGGAAUAUCAAUUUCUUUGCGAUCAAAGUCUUCAAGGAAUGACCAAAGGCUUCACUCGAAGAAAUACAUUUUUAAGGGUCGAUAUCCAUCGAAUAACUCAAACUCCUCAGCGACUUAUAGAGCCUGUGUACAUUUACGAACUUAUCAGUCUCUUAACCUAUAAAUCUUCAAACCACCCAAAUCACUAAGGGGCACUAGAUGCACUUACAAUCUCCCCUUUUUGGUGGUUGAUGACAACUAGGUUAAGUUUUCAACGGGGCUAAUAAUAUGAAAUGUAAGUACACAGUUUGAGGAAUUUGAUUGCAGGAUACAGAGAUACUCCCCUUGAAAAUGUGCAUAUUUGAGAAGUUUGCGUUGGACAGCAAAUGCAUAUUGAUGAUAUAUAUCAUGGAAAUCUCCCCCUGUAUCUUGUAAUUCAUGUAUGCAUCGUACGUCCAGCGAACAAUGCCAACUAGGCCUGCAUGCCCUAGCUAGCAUCGCCGCCGUUGUAUGCAUAUGAUCUGCCACUGCUGACACGCUCCGGAGUUCGCGUUGAUUUCAAUGACUCCUGUCAACUUCGAUCUCUUCCAGUUUUAACGCUCGAAAUCGGUCAAGUGUAGCUUAAAUCCAACUGAUCUUCUUUACGAUUUCUUUCAUCCUUUUCCUCUAGAUCAACCAUCAACCCCAGAUAACCUAGCAUUGAUACCACUUGAUAGAAUAAACAAGAGAUGUAUAGUCGUUCAUCCGAGGACCAAGCAGUCAAAUGAGCACGCCACCGAAAUUUGUUAAUGAGGUUCAACGAUAUGACUACGUCCCUGGAGCUUGGUUACUGACGCUCCUCCCCGUGACACCGUCACAAUACCGUACCUAGACCACCCUGGGCACCGACACAUGCAGCCGUCUCCCCUGCGUUCAUGUGCUAUUAUAUUAGCAUAGGUUAUUUCGUUUGUCUGCCUCCACUAUAUAUGAGAGGUCAAGGGCAUACCUAUAUAAACACAAUACAACUCAGAGUCCAACUAUAACAUACCUUGAACACAAUAUUCAACACAACUAUAACACAUAGGAUGAAGCAUUAGUUCAAUUAAAUAUUUUGGAUAGUAUUAUUGGUGUUAUGGUUAUCCAUAAUUUACAUACCGUUACACAAUUAUAAUUAUCAAAACUUCUUUUUAUGUCAAGAAAUUAAAGAACAAUAUACUUUCAAAUGACUUUAUUCAUAGUAAGAAGUCUAAAGCCUUCACAAUAAGUAUACAUAGAUUUAGAUAUAGCUAUAUUAAAGUAUUUUUUAUCAAAACGGUAUAUUAGAACUUCAACGUGGUAUAAACUUGUGGGGGUAAAUUCAUCACCCAUCUAUAUGUACUCCAUUAGAAAAUGGUUGGUUCCUAACUUAGUUUUUAUUUAAUUUCCUUUUUAAGAAAAGACACUCGGAAGAGUACUCCCUCCGUCUCGGUGUAUAGGCAAUCUUAGGUUGUGCACCACGACCAAGACAAAGAGGAAAACGAGAGAAAUUAAAGUUAAUUUGCUAAUAUAAUGUCCAUACUAUAAAUUGACCACUGCAUGUCAUGUCAGUUAGUCUCAAGUCAUUAAAAACAUAAACGCCCCACGUCUCUUUUCGGUUAAUUCCUUUAUUCAUGUAAAAAAAACAGAAAUGAGGUGAAAGUUAAUGUACUGUGCCUAACUUUUUUGGAAUUAUUUGGUUUUUCUAAGAUGACUUAUAAACCGAGACGGGGGAGUAUCAUAAAUUUGAUAUUUAUUAGGGAUAACAGUAGUGGGUACAAAAGAGGGAUAGCUUGACACAAACGACUUGUAAAUAAUAUAAAAUCACACAUGAUAUCUCAUUUAUUGUCUUCUUCCUUGAUUAUUCAUAAGCACCCGAUCUUAGGAAAUGCACCACAAAGAUAGUAGACGAAACAUAUCCAUAGUUUGAACACCGGAUCUUAGGAAAUACACCGCAACGUCUUCGCCACACAAGCCUUUGAUGUUGAUAACGAGAUCUAGUAGGGAAACUGGAAAACUCCACGGGCGUUCAUGGUAGAGCCUUCACCGAUAUUAGUCUUGGAAACGUAUCCAUAGUUUUCAUCAGUAGAGUUGAGAUUUGAAUUUGCAAGCUUCACACCAUAGAUAUAACCCCAGCUUCCCACACUUGGGUAGUGUCCUUCCUCACGGAUUUCGGUGUACACCUACAUACAUAAAGUAUUAGAAUAUGCACUAGUAGAGUUUGACAUAUACAUAAUGUUUUUUCAGUUGAAAAACUGUAGUAGGUAAAUUCAAUUGAAUUUAGUUUAGAUUAUUUAUUUAUUUAUUUUUGCAGAAUCAUAGUUGAAAAACUGUAGUAAGUAAGAUCUUCUAUCAUCUUAAUUAAAAGAAUCAUAGUUUGCAGGUUUAUAAAUGCAUCACUUGCGAGGUGAAUUGCACCGUUAAUUUAAUUUGGAUUACAUAUAAAUUUACUUCAAAUUAGUUUGGAGCAUGAGCAAAGAGAAAAAGGUAAGAUACAUCAUUUUUGAGAUAAUGCACAGUAUUUACCCCGUUGUCACCAAUGUAGGGGGCGGUCCAGGAGAACAACCAAUCGCAGGACCUGCUGCUGGAGGGGAUCUUGGUACGAUACACAACGGCACCAGCUGAACCAACCGCAGCACCACUUGGGUGGACGUGGAGGAAUGCACCCCAUUGCCCAUUCUGAAUAUCUGAUGGGUAGGGUGUAUCAUAGAUAUGGCCGUGCCAAUCGUUGUACUUAGCCAAGCUCAAAGUGGCACCAGUGGCAUUGUAGAUGAGGCAUUUUACAGCUAUUCCGUUACCGUACCUAUAUAGCAGUGUCGCCAAAAUAUGGAUCAGAUUAAUUAAGCUCUCUCUAAAAGAAAUUUGUUUGUAUCACAACAUGCUAAAAGCAGAAAUAUACGACGUACAAUGAAGGAAACAACGAAAGAAACGAACCGCUCUUUGAGAUUGUCGACGAAGGUUAGUGCGUUAAUAUCCUUACCACCGGCGUUGAUCAUCUUCAUGGCAUAGUCUGCAACAUCCUUUUGAGUAAUGGGUUCCUUAUACUCACCAGUGGCUAUCACCGUCUUCUCCGAAAUGGGGGUACCAAACACUCCUGAGGCCAUUUGCUUUGCUAGUUUAGAUGGAUCGAUUGCUGUGAGAGAAUGAAUGAAUGAUUUUGUACAUCUAGUCCUGCCAGUAUUUAUACACGCGUUGGCAAUGCAAUGCAAAGAUCCCUCCUUCCACCGUUUCAUUAAAGAAAAAACCUCUGGUUGUGGCCGGUAGCCUGGGCCACGGCUAGAUAGAUAGCACACCGUGAGGAAUCCUUGCAAGUUGUGUAUAGUACUCGAUAGACGCUCGAGAUCAAUACACGCUUCAAAGUCAUAGAGCAAACAAUUUGCUUGCGACAAGACUACUUCCUCGCGUCCAAGUCGUGUGGUAUGGCACAUUGUUAAAGCACGCACAAGAUUUUCCCUCAAACUAAUCCAUCAGUAUCCAUCACACACGCACACACAAAUCCUGCACUACCGAAUCACAUCGNNNNNNNNNNNNNNNNNNNNNNNNNNNNNNNNNNNNNNNNNNNNNNNNNNNNNNNNNNNNNNNNNNNNNNNNNNNNNNNNNNNNNNNNNNNNNNNNNNNNUUUAGCCUAGUCUAAAUCUUUGCUGAUGCAUGUCCUCCAAGUCCUUGUUAUGCCCUGCCAUGUACAUGACCUACGUCCGUGAGCCCUCACUAGUGGAAAACCGGUCUUUGACCGGACCCUUUAGUCCCGGCCUGCCUCUGGACCGGGACUAAAGGCCCGGCCACGUCGCCCCAAUUCCCAAUGCCUCCCUCGAGGCUUUAGUCCCGGCCCGUAAGGAACCUUUAGUCCCGGUUCGUGUUCCAAACCGGGACUAAAGGGCUACGCGGUGUGCAGCCCGCAUGUGCGUCACCUUUAGUCCCGGUUUGUGUCUCAAACUGGGACUAAAGUCCUCUGCCUAUAUAUAGCACAGCCCCCCUCUCNNNNNNNNNNGGGUCUUUGACCGGGACCCUUUAGUCCCGGCCUGCCUUUGGACCGGGACUAAAGGCCCGGCCACGUCGCCCCAAUUCCCAAUGCCUUCCUCGAGGCUUUAGUCCCGGCCCGUAAGGAGCCUUUGGUCCCGGUUCGUGUUCCAAACCGGGACUAAAGGGCUACGCUGUGUGCAGCCCGCAUGUGUGCCACCUUUAGUCCCGGUUUGUGUCUUNNNNNNNNNNNNNNNNNNNNNNNNNNNNNNNNNNNNNNNNNNNNNNNNNNNNNNNNNNNNNNNNNNNNNNNNNNNNNNNNNNNNNNNNNNNNNNNNNNNNAUGUGACUGACUCGUCAUUCGAGAAGUUGCUGGUACUGAUGAAGAAGAUGCUUCCAAGAAAGAACGAAUUUCCCGCCAGCACGUACGAAGCAAAGAAGCUUAUCUGCCCUCUAGGAUUAGACGUGCAGAAGAUACAUGCAUGCCCUAAUGACUGCAUCCUCUACCGCGGUGAGAAGUACGAGAAUAUGGAUAAAUGCCCGGUAUGCACUGCAUUGCGGUAUAAGAUCAGAAAAGAUGACCCUGCAGAUAUCGAGGGCGAGCCACCCAGGAAGAGGGUUCCUGCCAAGGUGAUGUGGUAUGCUCCUAUAAUACCAUGGUUGAAACGUCUGUUUAGAAAUAAAGAUCAUGCGAAGUUGUUGCGAUGGCACAUGGAAGAUCGUAUGAAAGACGAUAAGUUGAGGCACACCGCUGAUGGCCGGCAGUGGAGAAAAAUCGAGAGAGAGUUCCCGAGAUUUGCAGCUGACGCAAGGAAUUUAUGGUUAGGUGUGAGUACAGAUGGCAUGAAUCCUUUUGGGGAGCAGAGUUGCAGUCACAACACCUGGCCCGUUACUCUAUGCAUCUACAACCUUCCUCAUUGGUUGUGCAUGAAGCGGAAGUUCAUUAUGAUGCCAGUGCUUAUACAAGGUCCAAAGCAAACCGACAACGAUAUUGAUGUGUAACUAAGACCAUUAGUUGAUGAACUUUUACAGCUGUGGGCCGAACGAGGUGUACGUGUGUGGGACGAGCACAAACAAGAGGACUUUGACCUUCGAGCGUUGCUUUUCGUAACCAUCAAUGAUUGGCCUGCUCUUAGUAACAUUUCAGGACAGUCAAACAAGGGAUACAAUGCAUGCACACACUGUUUGGAUCAGACAGAAAGUAUAUAUCUUGACAAAUGUAGGAAGAAUGUGUAUCCGUACAAUCGUCGUUUUCUUCCACCCAACCAUCCCUUAAAGCAAAAAAGGCAAGCAUUUCAAUGGCAAGGCAGAACCCCGGGGGAAGCCUGUCAUCCGUAUUGGUGCUGAAGUAUUUGAUAUGGUCAAAGAUUUAAAAGUAAUCUUUGGAAAGGGUCCUGGCAGCCAACCUGUUCCUAACGGCCCUGAUAAGCGCGUACCCAUGUGGAAGAAGAAAUCUAUAUUUUGGAAGCUACCCUACUGGAAAGUCCAUGAGGUCCGCUCGGCAAUCGACGUGAUGCACCUGACGAAGAAUCUCUGCGUGAAUAUUCUAGGCUUCCUGGGCUUGUAUGGGAAGUCAAAAGAUACACCGGAAGCACGGGAGGACCAAGAACGUCAUAAAGAAAGAGAUGGCAUGCAUCCAGGGUAGUUUCAAGGGUGUGCCAGCUACGCUCUUACUAAGGAAGAGAAGGAAAUCUUCUUUGAAGUCCUUUUCAGUAUCAAAGUCCCGACUGGCUUCUCGUCGAAUAUAAAGGGAAUCGUAAAUAUGAAAGACAAAAAAUUCCAAAACCUAAAGUCUCAUGACUGCCACGUGCUUAUGACGCAAUUGCUUCCGGUUGCAUUGAGGGGAAUUCUACCGGAAAAUGUUCGCCUGGCAAUUGUGAAGGUAUGUGCAUUCCUCAAUGCAAUUUCUCAGAAGGUAAUCGAUCGAGAAAGUCUAUCAGGGUUACAGAUUGAUGUGGUCCAAUUUCUGGUCAGCUUUGAGUUGUUGUUCCCGCCAUCCUUCUUCAAUAUAAUGACACACCUCCUAGUUCACCUAGUAGAAGAGAUUAGAAUUCUCGGUCCUGUGUUUCUAAACAAUAUGUUCCCCUUCGAGAGGUUCAUGAGAGUCUUAAAUAAAUAUGUCCUAGCCAAUAAUGUCGCUCAGGUUUUCUAUGUGAAGGACAUGUCUACAAAAACGAGAAAAAGAAAUCAGCAAAAGAAGAUACCGUCCGAUGAGCCAAAACGACACAUAGUUCUUUUAGGGAAAAGAAACAUCGUGGGAGUAGAUGACAAGACAGACAUGUCAGANNNNNNNNNNGAUGUCGCUCAGGUUUUCUAUGUGAAGGACAUGUCUACAAAAACAAGAAAAAGAAAUCAGCAAAAGAAGAUACCGUCCGAUGAGCCAAAACACCACAUAGUUCUUUCAGGGAAAAGAAACAUCGUGGGAGUAGAUGACAAGACAGACAUGUCAGAAGAUUAUAAUAAGUUUCAUGAAAUUCCGCCCUUCAAAGUGAAAACUGACCCAAGCAUCCUACUAAAUGAUGAAGAUUCUCCAUGGCUACGACCUAGAAGAAAACAGAAAUAAUAGAUAGGAAUAUUGGUGCAAUAAUGUAAUAAUAUAUUAAACCUUUUAUGUAAUACAUGUAUGGAAUGUACUAAAUUUCAAACACUUUUCAUUUUCAUAGUAUCCAUGUAAGAGAUGAGUUCUUGUUCGAAACCCUGAUACUUCGAGACAGAUUGUCCGUUUUGUACACGAAGUGCAUCCAGUUUUUGUCGUAGCCCNNNNNNNNNNNNNNNNNNNNNNNNNNNNNNNNNNNNNNNNNNNNNNNNNNNNNNNNNNNNNNNNNNNNNNNNNNNNNNNNNNNNNNNNNNNNNNNNNNNNNNNNNNNNNNNNNNNNNNNNNNNNNNNNNNNNNNNNNNNNNNNNNNNNNNNNNNNNNNNNNNNNNNNNNNNNNNNNNNNNNNNNNNNNNNGGGUCAACUAGCUCAAAAAAAAUAAGUAAAUGCACGAAAUAUACCAAAUGAAGUCAGAAGUUGUUGAAAUUUUGCGAUGUGCCUUUGAAUGGUGCAUUUUAAACACACAAAAAGUAUGGAGUUCAAAUAAGUUCAAAAAAAUGAAAUCCCUUUGUAAGAGAUGAAUUCUCGUUCGAAACCCUGAUACUUCAAGAGAGAUUGUCCGUUUUGUACACAAAGUGCAUCCAGUUUUUGUGGUAGCCCUCUCAACUUUUUAACACAUGCUAUGUGUGUGAAAUGAUGAUAACAUUCCAACUUUCAACAUUUUCAGAGUUCAUUUGUAGUGCUUUUUAAUUUCAGGGUCAACUAGCUCAAAAAAAAAGUAAAUGCACGAAAUAUACUAAAUGAAGUCAGAAAUUGUUGAAAUUUUGUGAUGUGCCUUUGAAUGGUNNNNNNNNNNNNNNNNNNNNNNNNNNNNNNNNNNNNNNNNNNNNNNNNNNNNNNNNNNNNNNNNNNNNNNNNNNNNNNNNNNNNNNNNNNNNNNNNNNNNCCAACGAUGUGAUGUGAUAUAUUGGAUGUAUGAGAUGAUCAUGUUGUAAUAGAUAAUAUCGACUUGCACGUCGAUGGUACGGCAACCAGCAGGAGCCAUAGGGUUGCCUUUAAACUAACGUUUGUGCUUGCAGAUGCGUUUACUAUUUUGCUAGGAUGUAGCUUUAGUAGUAAUAGCAUGAGUAGCACGACAACCCCGAUGGCGACACGUUGAAGGAGAUCAUGGUGUGGCGCCGGCGACAAGAAGAUCGUGCCGGUGCUUUGGUGAUGGAGAUCAAGGAGCACGUGAUGAUGGCCAUAUCAUGUCACUUAUGAAUUGCAUGUGAUGUUAAUCCUUUUAUGCACCUUAUUUUGUUUAGAACGACGGUAGCAUUAUGAGGUGAUCUCUCACAAAAAUUUCAAGACAAAAUUGUCUUCUCCCCGACUGUGCACCGUUGCUACAGUUCGUCAUUUCGAGACACCACGGGAUGAUCGGGUGUGAUAGACUCAACGUUCACAUACAACGGGUGCAAAACAGUUGCACACGCGGAACACUCGGGUUAAGCUUGACGAGCCUAGCAUGUGCAGACAUGGCCUCGGAACAGAUGAGACCGAAAGGUCGAUCAUGAAUCAUAUAGAUGAUAUGAUUAGCAUAGGGAUGCUUACCACUGAAACUAUACUCAACUCACGUGAUGAUCGGACUUGAGCUAGUGUAAGUGGGUCAUGAACCACUCAAAUGACUAGAGAGAUGUACUUUUUGAGUGGGAAUUUAGCAAGUAAUUUGAUUAAGUUAAACUCUAAUUAUCUUAAACAUAGUCUAAGUCCACUUUGAAUAUAUUUGUGUUGUAGAUCAUGGCUCAAGCGACAGUCACCCUGAAUUUUAAUAUGUUCCUAGAGAAAGCUAAGUUGAAAGAUGAUGGAAGCAACUUUGUAGACUGGGCUCGUAAUCUUAAGUUGAUCCUACAAGUUGGGAAGAAGGAUUAUGUCCUUAAUGCUGCGCUAGGAGAUGAACCACCCGCUACGGCUGACCAGGAUGUUGAGAACGCUUGGUUAACACGUAAGGAGGACUACUCAGUAGUUUAAUGUGCAGUCUUGUAUGGCUUAGAACCGGGACUUCAACAUCGCUUUGAGCGUCAUGGAGCAUAUGAGAUGUUCCAGGAGUCGAAGUUCAUCUUUCAGAAGAACGCCCGGAUCGAGAGGUAUGAGACCUCUGAUAAAUUCUAUGCUUGCAAGAUGGAGGAGAAUUCGUCUGUCAGUGAANNNNNNNNNNAAUCCUACAAGCUGGGAAGAAGGAUUAUGUCCUUAAUGCUGCGCUAGGAGAUGAACCACCUGCUACGGCUGAUCAGGAUGUUGAGAACGCUUGGUUAACACGUAAGGAGGACUACUCAGUANNNNNNNNNNCGCGACAGUCACCCUGAAUUUUAAUAUGUUCCUAGAGAAAGUUAAGUUGAAAGAUGAUGGAAGCAACUUUGUAGACUGGGCUCGUAAUCUNNNNNNNNNNCGAUGUGUAGUCUUGUAUGGCUUAGAACCGGGACUUCAACGUCGCUUUGAGCGUCAUGGAGCAUAUGAGAUGUUCUAGGAGUCGAAGUUCAUCUUUCAGAAGAACGCCCGGAUUGAGAGGUAUGAGACCUCCGAUAAAUUCUAUGCUUGCAAGAUGGAGGAGAAUUCGUCUGUCAGUGAACAUGUGCUCAAAAUGUCUCGGUACUCAAACCGUCUAGCUGAGCUGGGGAUUGAACUCCCGCAAGAGGCUAUCACUGACAGAAUCCUUGAAUCACUGCCGCCAAGCUAUAAGGGCUUUGUGUUGAACUACAACAUGCAAGGGAUGAACAAGUCACCCGACGAGUUGUUUGCGAUGCUGAAAGUCGCAGAGUCUGAACUCCGUAAAGAGCAUCAUGUGUUGGUGGUGAAUAAGACCACUAGUUUCAAGAGAAACGGCAAAGGCAAGANNNNNNNNNNGCGAGUUGUUUGCGAUGCUGAAAGUCGCAAAGUCUGAACUCCGUAAAGAGCAUCAAGUGAUGGUGGUGAAUAAGACCACUAGUUUCAAGAGAAACGGCAAAGGCAAGAAGGGUAAUUCAAAGAAGAGCGGCAAGCCUGUUGCCAAUCCGACGAAGAAACCCAAAGCUGGACCUAAGCCUGAAACAGAGUGCUACUAUUGCAAGGGUAUGGGUCACUCGAAGCGCAACUACCCCAAGUAUCUGGCUGAUAAGAAGGCGGCCAAAGAAAAAUCAGGUAUAUUUGAUAUACAUGUUAUUGAUGUGUACUUANNNNNNNNNNNNNNNNNNNNNNNNNNNNNNNNNNNNNNNNNNNNNNNNNNNNNNNNNNNNNNNNNNNNNNNNNNNNNNNNNNNNNNNNNNNNNNNNNNNNUAUAUAUAUAUAUAUAUAUAUAUGUGUGUGUGUGUGUGUGUGUGUUGUAUGAAUUAUGUAUAUUUUGCUGUCAUUUACAGGCUAAGAAGACGGUAAAAAAUAGAUCAUAUUUUGCUGUCAUGUACAGGCUAGGAAGACGGCAAAAAAUAGACCAUAUUUUGUUCUCAUGUGCAUCUUAGGAAGAUGGCAAAAAAAUGCCAUAUUUUGCUGUCACGUAUAGGUUAGGAAGACGGCAAAAAAUGCCAUAUUUUGCUGUCAUGUAUAAGUUAGGAAGACGGCAAAAAAUACCGUAUUUUGCUGUCAUGUGUAGGUUAGGAAGACGGCAAAAAGGCUAACGUCGUCCGUUAGUUAGGCCGUUCCGUCUUCUUACCAUUUUUGUGCCGUCUACCGAUAGUAGCUGGCGGCAAAAUAAUUCCACUGACGGCAAACAUUUUUCCGUCUGCUGUCCUGGUCGCUGACGACAAAGACGUCCUUUGCGGGCACAUGGUCUAACGACAUUAUUUGCCGCCAUGGGCUGACGGCAAAAAUUUUGCCUGCUGUAAUUCGCUCUUUGCCGUCUGUAGCGUCCUGAUGGAAAAAUGCUCGAUUCCUGUAGUGAGACAUCAUAGAUCGCAUCAUCUCUAAUAAAGUACGAUUACGACGUUCGGAGACACCAUUACGCUGUGGUGUUCCAGGCGGUGUAAACUGUGAAACAAUUCCACAUUGUCUUAAGUGAGCACCAAACUCGAAACUCAGAUAUUCACCCCCACGAUCAGACCGUAGGAACUUGAUCUUCUUGUUACGAUGAUUUUCAACUUCACUCUGAAAUUGCUUGAACUUUUCAAAUGUUUCAGACUUGUGCUUCAUUAAGUAGACAUAACCACUAAGAAUUACAGUGUAAAUCCACUGAAAAUUACAGUGUAAAUCCACUAAAAGUACAGUGUAUAUCUACUGAAAAUUAUCAAAUCCNNNNNNNNNNUAUCUACUCAAAUCGUCAAUGAAGGUGAGAAAAUAACGAUAUCCGCCGUGUGCCUCUACGCUCAUCGGACCGCACACAUCGGUAUGUAUGAUUUCCAACAAGUCACUGGCACGCUCCAUUGUUUCGGAGAAAGGAGUUUUUUCAUCUUGCCCAUGAGGCAUGGUUCACACGUGUCAAGUGAAUCAAAGUNNNNNNNNNNNNNNNNNNNNNNNNNNNNNNNNNNNCGGAGUUUUAGUCAUCUUGCCCAUGAGGCAUGGUUCACACGUGUCAAGUGAAUCAAAGUCAAGUGACUCCAAAAGUCCAUCGGCAUGGAGUUUCUUCUUGCGCUUUACACCAAUAUGACCUAAGCGGCAGUGCCACAAAAAUAUGGUGCUAUCAUUGUUAACUCCAACUCUUUUGGUCUGAGUGUUAUGUAUAUGUGUAUCACUAUCAAGAUUCAAUAUGAACAAUCCUCUCACAUUGGGUGCAUGACCAUAAAAGAUGUUACUCAUAGAAAUAGAACAACCAUUAUUCUCUGACUUAAAAGAGUAACCGUCUCGCAAUAAACAAGAUCCAGAUAUAAUGUUCAUGCUCAAUGCAGGCACUAAAUAACAAUGAUUUAAGUUCAUCACUAAUCCCGAUGGUAGCUGAAGUGACACUGUGCCGACGGCGAUUGCAUCAACCUUGGAANNNNNNNNNNNNNNNNNNNNNNNNNNNNNNNNNNNNNNNNNNNNNNNNNNNNNNNNNNNNNNNNNNNNNNNNNNNNNNNNNNNNNNNNNNNNNNNNNNNNUACGGACCCAUAGGUCUGAAGUGAACUACUCACGAGUCAUUGGAGGGGCGAUGAUGAUGAUGAAUAAGCCCUCCAACUCCAAAGUCCCCUCCGGCAGGGUGCUGGGAAGGGUCNNNNNNNNNNGAGAACUUUGUAUUGAAGAUCCAAGAGAGAGAAGAAGCCAUCUAGCUACUAACUACGGACCCAUAGGUCUGAAGUGAACUACUCACGAGUCAUUGGAGGGGUGAUGAUGAUGAUGAAGAAGCCCUCCAACUCCAAAGUCCCCUCCGGCAGGGUGCUGGGAAGGGUCUCCAGAUGAGAUCUCGUGGAAACGGAAGCUUCCGGCGGCCAAAAAGUAUUUUUGAGGCUCCCCUGAUUUUUUGCGGAAUAUUUGGGAAUUUAUAGGACAAAGAUCUAGGUCAAGGGGCGGCCAGGGAGGCCACAAGCCUGCCCACCGCCGCCUCCCCCUGGUGGCGGAGUGGGGGCUUGUNNNNNNNNNNNNNNNNNNNNNNNNNNNNNNNNNNNNNNNNNNNNNNNNNNNNNNNNNNNNNNNNNNNNNNNNNNNNNNNNNNNNNNNNNNNNNNNNNNNNNNNNNNNNNNNNNNNNNNNNNNNNNNNNNNNNNNNNNNNNNNNNNNNNNNNNNNNNNNNNNNNNNNNNNNNNNNNNNNNNNNNNNNNNNNNNNNNNNNAUCAGAUCUGAAAAGAGUCCAAAACACGAAAAAACAGGAACUGGCACUUGGCACUGAGUUAAUAAGUUAGUCCCAAAAAAGAUAUAAAAGGUACAUAAAACAACACUAGUAGAAAACAGGGCUACCGUUCGGCCUUGGCCAGCCCAUUAGUCCCGGUUCUUCAAGAACCCGGACCAAUGGGGGGUAUUAGACCCGGUUCGCGAGCCCAGGGGGCUGGCCGGGGCCUCGUGGGCAUUGGUCCCGGUUCAUGUGGAACUAUUUGUCCCGGUUCGAGCCACGAACCGGGACCAAUGGUCCUCGCUGCGGGCCCACAACCAUUGGUCCCGGUUCGUGGCUUGAACCGGGACAGAUAANNNNNNNNNNAGACCAAUGGGGGGUAUUAGACCCGGUUCGCGUGCCCAGGGGGCUGGCCGGGGCCUCGUGGGCAUUGGUCCCAGUUCAUGUGGAACUAUUUGUCCCGGUUCGGGCCACGAACCGGGACCAAUGGUCCUCGCUGCUGGCCCACAACCAUUGGUCCCGGUUCGUGGCUUGAACCGGGACAGAUAACUUGCCUACAUAUACCCACCGCCGCGGCAGAGCACUCCACAGUGCUCUGUUUUUGUCAAGCCGGCAAGGGGAGGGCAUUUGGGUGCUCUAGUUCACCUCCUAUGCACAUGAGGUGUUCGAUGAAAUGCCCGAGCCACACUAGUUAAGCUUUCUCCUCUCGAAACUCGACCUCCGAGCUCCAUUUCCAAUGAGAUCUGUCUAGAUUUUGCGGUCCGUCACGCCCCGUCUUCACCGCCGUCGAUCGCCCGUGCCGAUCUCGUCGCCGGNNNNNNNNNNUCAAUGAGAUCUGUCUAGAUUUAGCGGUCCGUCACGCCCCGUCCCCGCCCCGUCUUCACCGCCGUCGAUCGCCCGUGCCGAUCUCGUCGCCGGCACCACCGUGGUGAGCCUCUUGUUCUUAUCUUCUUUCUGAAAGAAAAAAAAUUCUGACUUCAGAUAGAUACUUGUCUAAUUUUCUUACUUUUAUUAUUCCUUGUUAUUAUAUAGUGCGAUGGUUUUGGUAUCCGCCCCCGUCGGCCCUCGUCCUGUCUAUGAUUCAGAUGUGGUAUAUAUUAUCUUUUCAUAGCUAUUUGGUUCAUUUAUUGUUUAUGACAAUUAUGCCGACCAAUGUGACAUGGAUUUUAUUUAUCUAGGAGGUUGUUGAACCAGAAAUUCCAACCGACCCUAUUGUCGAGAGGUUAGAUUUAGUUGAAGAAGAAAACAAUUACUUGAAGGAAAAAAUAAGAAAAAUUGAGGAGGAGAAGAUGAUAUUGGAGUUGCAUGUUGCGGAUGUCGUCGAUGAUUUUGACGCUCAGAGUUAAGGAGGACAUGACCUCGUUGGAAUUGAUCUGUUGAAUGUUCCAUUUGAGGUGUUCUUCGAAUUUUUUAAUCACUUGCUACUGCCUGUAAGUAGUACUACUUCUGUCAUUAAGUCUUUAUAUAUAGGUCAGCUCUUUCAUUGCAUGUAUCUUUAAUUAUUCUCACUAUAUUAUGCAGAUUGAAGAUCGCCGGAUUGAAGAAAAGACAAAUCGGUGAUAUUGGGUUCAUUAACACAAAUCUCAUAUAUGCAUAUAUGGUUAAAUUUCAGGCCAAAGAUACCGAGGCCAAGGUGCUACAAUCGUUUAUAUUAAAUCAAAACAAAGCUAUAAUACUCUUCCCUUACAACUUCGAGUGAGUGUUACUGUCUUGUGCAUAUUCGGUUUUCCUUAUUAGUCGAGGUUAUAGUAAUGUAAUUGAUGAGUUAUGCAUGCAUGCGCAUGUUCCACUAUAUUCUCCUAGAGAUUGAGCUUGAGCAGGGACUAGUAACCGUCUUAGACUCGAGACGAAAAGAUCCCAAGAAUUACGCGGACAUGACUGAAAUUCUAGAGAAUUAAGUUAAAUCUAUCAUUAUCGCACCAUAUCGGCAACUUCAAUUUGUUCAUUGCCUGAUAUCAAGUAAUUGUUUUCUUUGUCUGGCAGGGUUUGGAGUAAAUUCACCUCAAAAACUCUGGGACUGCCAAAGAAGCUGCAUUUUAGACACCCGAAAGUAAGUACUAUAGUAGCAUAUAUGUUCCACGCGUCUUCUAUUGAUUCAAGCGCUAGUUUCAUGAAUACCAUUUAGUAUGCUUGCUAAUUACCAGUUUGAUUGACCUCUAUUUCUUGUAAAGUGGUUGUGGCAGGAAGAAUGUACUAAUUACUGUGGAGAGUCCAUCCGCCACACGACCUGUGAGCGGGGCUACUCCGAGAAACAANNNNNNNNNNCAAUACCAUUUAGUAUGCUUGCUAAUUAUCAGUUUGAUUGACCUCUAUUUUUUGUAAAGUGGUUGUGGCAGGAAGAAUGUACUAAUUACUGUGGAUACUAAAUUUGCGAGUCCAUCCGCCACACGACCUGUGAGCGGGGCUACUCCGAGAAACAAUAUGAAGUGCAUAAAUAAUUAUAUUCACAAUUUUAUUUUAUUACCAUCAUUUGUGUUCAGUUUCAUUUAUUCAUAUAUAUGUAUUGACCCCCUUCUUCAAAUUAGAUAUUCCGGAUGCGAGAUGAACUCCUAGCACCAGAUCGUAUGCGAGGAAUUCAAGAGGAAUUGGCGGCAUUCUUUCUUGACCACGUGAUCGCUAAAGACGGAGAAUACUAUGUGGACCCUGCAGGGUUCAAUUUUGAUAUGGACAAGAGUCACAUGAUGUUCACUAGUGAUGUCUCUCUCCCAAAAGACAAUAAACAACUAUGCUAGGGUAAACAAAUCACAGUUGGGAAAUUGACAGAAUUAUCAUCGCACCGCAAUGCUAAUUAUGCUCCUUGAUAGUUAGAGUCAGUAGUAAUGGGCAAUACGCCAAGACAAGUAGACCGUUUAUUCAAAAAUAUCUACUUACUAAUCAUCCACCUUGAGAUAUCUAUCCAGAACAUCUCUCCGGUAUUAAGUUGCGAGCCCCACCCAAAAUGUAAAUUCAAAGCAACGGACAACUGUAUUAACGGACUAUGCGUAAGGUAAACUAUCCUUGCAACCUUGGUCACAAUCACCGUUGUUUUCUCCUUGGUGGCAACAACCACAUCCCUUAGUCUCAUGUUUCUGUCACUCAAGCUAUACAUCGAGGGGCCCGAACCUACAAUCAUGCAUAACGCUCCCUCUUGGAGUUACGAUCUACUACUUGGCCAAAAUAAUAAAAAGCAACAGAGAACAUGCAUGAAUCACUAAGGAACAUAAAAUAAAAGGAUAAUGAAAUAUAAAACUCAUAACAAUCUGAACAUAAUCUCAUAAUCCAUCGGAUCCCAACAAACCGAGCAUAGCAAUAGCAAGAGAAUUACAUAGAUGCCUUGAUCAUGUAGGGCAGCUCACAAGGACUAACCAUUGAAGCACAAGAUUGGAGAGAAGACAUCACAUAGCUACUGGUCAUGGACUCAUGGUCCAAGGGAAACUACUCACGGUACUUCCGGGAGGCGUCCAUGGUGGUGGAGAAGCUCACGGAGGUCAAUCCUCCCUCCGGCAGGGUGCCGGGAAUAGGUCUUCUGACGCUCCCAAUAUCAAAAGCGCUGCGGCGGCGGAAGGAUGGAGAAAUUCGUGAUUUCAGAAAGUCUGCGAGGGUUUCCUCACGGAACACUAAAUAUAGGCCAAAGGAGGGCACCAGAGGAGGUGGGGCCCACCCAAGCGACCUCCUGGGGCGGCCUAGGGCCUGGCCGCGCCAGCAGGCCGCCUGGGAGGCCCCUGGCCCCCCGCUGGCCUUCCUUCGGCGAUCUCGAAGAUUUUGUUUUGCUGAUUUUUUUAUAUAUUUUUCUAGAUUUUUUGGGCUUUGGAAAAUUAGGUAAAAGUCCCUGCAAAAAAGAAAUCAGCAGACAAAAACUGGCACUGGGUGCACUAAGUUAGUAGGUAAGUCCAAAUAUGUGUAAUAUGAUAUAAAAAUAUAGAAAAACAUGUAACAAUGUCACCCAAAUGAUCAUNNNNNNNNNNGAAACUGGCACUGGGUGCACUAAGUUAGUAGGUUAGUCCAAAUAUGUGUAAAACGAUAUAAAAAUAUAGAAAAACAUGUAACAAUGUCACCCAAAUGAUCAUGGAACAAGCAGAAAUUAUAUAUACAUUUGGGACGUAUCAGCGGGCUUGUGGCAAUCACCGCUAUCAAGAGCGUCGGGUCCUCGUCAUGCCGGUCGGCAGCCUGGCCUGCUUGUUCGGCGACGUUCGCCUCCUCGCAUAGGUGGGUCCUGCACUCCCGUGCCCAAUGUCGAUAUUUCUUGCAAUAGCGGCACUGGUCCGUUGGUUUGGCAGGACUGCUGGAGCCGCCCCCUCGCCCGCAACAUCCGCCGCCGCGUUCCUGUCCAAAGCUGCUGCAUCCUGAUCUGUCGUUCUAGUGGCGUUGCUGGCGCGCGUGCCACUCCUCCGCUAUCAUNNNNNNNNNNGACGUCCGCCGCCGCGUUCCGGUCCAAAGCUGCUGCAUCCUGAUCCGUCGUUCUAGUGGCGUUGCUGGCGCGCGUGCCACUCCUCCGCUAUCAUGAGGAGCCGGCCACCGCCCACGUCUGCACGUCGUAGCGUUCCUUCGCCGCCUUCAACCGCCCGACAGCUCUUCCAUCGAGAGAUUGUCAACGUCGACAAGGGUCUCAAUGGAUAGUGCAAUCUGAGAUUACUGUCGGGGGACGACGGAGAGGAACUUGCACACGACCUUCUUCUCCAGGAUCGACUCGCCAUGUAGGCUUAGCUGAUUCACCAUACCUAUGAAUCACAUGGCGAAGUCGUCGAUGCACACACCGUCGUUGAAUGCCACGGCGAUGUAUUGCUUGUUGAGGGUAGCCGCCUUGGCCUCGUGCAGUCGAGCAAUGCCGAGGCGCAUCGUCUUGAGGGCGUCUUAUGCCUCCUUUGCCGUGCCCUUGGCUUCGAGAGUCGCCACCAUCUCGGGAGGCACCCCUCGAAGAAUUGCCUCCAGGGUGAGAUGAUCGUCGUUGCGCACCGUCGUGCCCCUUUCGGUUGCCUCACAGAGGUAACACCCCUCGAGCAUCACCUACAUCAGGAUGGCCCAGUCUGUAGUAAUUAACCUAGUUGUAGUCUAAACGUACACGUGUGUCCUAAUNNNNNNNNNNNNNNNNNNNNNNNNNNNNNNNNNNNNNNNNNNNNNNNNNNNNNNNNNNNNNNNNNNNNNNNNNNNNNNNNNNNNNNNNNNNNNNNNNNNNUACGCGCACGAAGACCUAUCAUGGUGAUGUCCAUCUACGAGAGGGGAUUUCCGAUCUACCUACCCUUGUAGAUCGCACAGCAGAAGCGUUAGUGAACGCGGUUGAUCUAGUGGAACGUCCUCACGUCCCUCGAUCCGCCCCGCGAACUGUCCCACGAACCGUCCCGCGAUCCGUCCCACGAUCUAGUGCCGAACGGNNNNNNNNNNCCUCGAUCCGCCCCGCGAACCGUCCCGCGAACCGUCCCGCGAUCCGUCCCACGAUCUAGUGCCGAACGGACGACACGUCCACGUUCAACACACGUACAGCUCGACGAUGAUCUCGGCCUUCUUGAUCUAGCAAUAGAGACGGAGAGGUAGAUGAGUUCUCCGGUAGCGUGACGGCGCUCCGAAGGUUGGUGGUGAUCUGAUCUCGGCAGGGCUNNNNNNNNNNUGAUUGCCGGAAAGUUUUCGGAGUUACUGGGAAUGACGAAUGGGUUCCGGGUGUUCACCGGGGGGGUAACCCACCCCGGGGAAGCCCAUAGGCCUUGGGGGUGGCGCACCAGCCCNNNNNNNNNNGCGUCCUCACGUCUCUCGAUCCGCCCCGCGAACCGUCCCACGACCCGUCCCGCGAUCCGUCCCACGAUCUAGUGCCGAACGGACGGCACCUCCGCGUUCAGCACACGUACAGCUCGACGAUGAUCUCGGCCUUCUUGAUCCAGCAAGAGAGACGGAGAGGUAGAUGAGUUCUCCGGCAGCGUGACGGCGCUCCUGAGGUUGGUGGUGAUCUGAUCUCGGCAGGGCUCCGCCCGAGCUCCGCAANNNNNNNNNNUCUCGAUCCGCCCCGCGAACCGUCCCACGAACCGUCCCGCGAUCCGUCCCACGAUCUAGUGCCGAACGGNNNNNNNNNNAAACGCGAUCUAGAGGUAAAACCGUGGAGGUAUGUGGUCGGGCUGCCUUUGAAAUGUUGUAUCAAAUCAGCCCUAAUACCUGUGUAUAUAUAGGUGGGAGGGGAGGGGCCUUGCCUUGAGGCUCAAGGAGCCCCAAGGGGGUUGGCCGAACCAAGGGGGGAAGUCCUCCCCUUCCAAACCGAAUCCAACUAGGAUUGGAACGUGGAGUCCUUCUCUCCUUCCCCACCUCCCCUUUUUUUCUUUCUCUUUGAUUUCUUAUCCUUAGGCGCAUAUGGCCUUCUUGGGCUGAUUUGAGACAACAUUUCAAAGGCAGCCCGACCACAUACCUCCACGGUUUUANNNNNNNNNNAAUCAGCCCUAAUACCUCUGUAUAUAUAGGUGGGAGGGGAGGGGCCUUUCCUUGAGGCUCAAGGAGCCCCAAGGGGGUCGGACGAACCAAGGGGGGAAGUCCUCCCCUUCCAAACCGAAUCCAACUAGGAUUGGAACGUGGAGUCCUUCUCUCCUUUCCCACUUCCCCCUUUUUUCUUCUUUGAUUUCUUAUCCUUUGGCGCAUAGGGCCUUCUUGGGCUGUCCCACCAGCCCAUCAAGGGCUGGUGCACCACCCCCAAGGCCUAUGGGCUUCCCCGGGGUGGGUUGCCACCCCGGUGAACACCCGGAACCCAUUUGUUAUUCCCGGCACAUUCCCGGUAACUUCGAAAACCUUCCGGCAAUCUAAUGAGGUCAUCCUAUAUAUCAAUCUUCNNNNNNNNNNCCAAGGGCUGGUGCGCCAUCCCCAAGGCCUAUGGGCUUCCCCGGGGUGGGUUGCCCCCCCGGUGAACACCCGGAACCCAUUUGUCAUUCCCGGCACAUUCCCGGUAACUCCGAAAACCUUCCGGCAAUCUAAUGAGGUCAUCCUAUAUAUCAAUCUUCNNNNNNNNNNGUCCCCCCGGUGAACACUCGGAACCCAUUCGUCAUUCCCGGUAACUCGGAAACCCUCGUGACGUCCGUGAUCUCAUCCGGGACUCCGAACAACAUUCGGUAACCAACCAUAUAACUCAAAUGUGCAUAAAACAACGUCGAACCUUAAGUGUGCAGACCCUGCGGGUUCGAGAACUAUGCAGACAUGACCGGAGUGACUCCUCGGUCAAUAUACAAUAGCGGGACCUGGAUGCCCAUAUUGGAUCCCACAUAUUCUACGAAGAUCCUAUCGUUUGAACCUCAGUGCCAAGGAUUCAUAUAAUCCCGUAUGUCAUUCCCUUUGUCCUUCGGUAUGUUACUUGCCCGAGAUUCGAUCGUCAGUAUCCGCAUACCUAUUUCAAUCUUGUUUAGCGGCAAGUCUCUUUACUCGUUCCGUAAUACAAGAUCUCGCAACUUACACUAAGUCACAUUGCUUGCAAGGCUUGUGUGUGAUGUUGUAUUACCGAGUGGGCCCCGAGAUACCUCNNNNNNNNNNCAUCGUCAGUAUCCGCAUACCUAUUUCAAUCUCGUUUAGCGGCAAGUCUCCUUACUCGUUCCGUAAUACAAGAUCUCGCAACUUAUACUAAGGCUUGUGUGUGAUGUUGUAUUACCGAGUGGGCCCCGAGAUACCUCUCCGUCACAGGGAGUGACAAAUCCGAGUCUCGAUCCAUACUAACUCAACGAACACCUUCGGAUAUACCUGUAGAGCAUCUUUAUAGUCACCCAGUUACGUUGCGAAGUUUGAUACACACAAAGCAUUCCUCCGGUGUCAGUGAGUUAUAUGAUCUCAUGGUUAUAGNNNNNNNNNNUGACGUGAUCCAGUUAUCAAGCAACAACACCUUAUACAUAAUCAGAAGACCCUGACUAUCUUUGAUCAACUGGCUAGCCAACNNNNNNNNNNGAACAAAUACUUGACACGCAGAAAACAGUAGCAACAAAAUGACACGAUCAACAUGCUACGUCUAUUAGUUCGGGUCUAGUCCAUCACGUGAUUCUCCUAAGGACGUGAUCCAGUUAUCAAGCAACAACACCUUGUACAUAAUCAGAAGACCCUGACUAUCUUUCAUCAACUGGCUAGCCAACUAGAGGCUUGCUAGGGACAGUGUUUUGUCUAUGUAUCCACACAUGUAUAUAAGUCUUUAUUCAAUACAAUUAUAGCAUGGAUAAUAAAAAAUUAUCUUGAUACAGUAAUUAUAAUAAUAACUAUAUUUAUUAUUGCCUCUAGGGCAUAAUUCCAACAGUCUUCCACUUGCACUAGAGUCAAUAAUCUAGCCCUCACAUCAUCAUGCGAAUUACAUUGUAAUAAAUCUAACACCCACAUAGUUCUGGUGUUGAUCAUGCUUUGCCCGUGGAAGAGGUUUAGUUAGCGGGUCUGCUACAUUCAGAUCCGUGUGCACUUUGCAUAUAUUUACGUCCUCCCCUUCGACGUAGUCGCGGAUGAGGUUGAAGCGUCGCUUGAUGUGUCUGGUCUUCUUGUGAAACCGUGGUUACUUUGCUAAGGCAAUGUCAUCCGUGUUGUCACAGAACAAGGUUAUUGGAUUCAGUGCGCUUGGCACUAUUCCAAGAUCCGUCAUGAACUACUUCAUCCAGACACCCUCCUUAGCCGCCUCCGAGGCAGCCAUGUACUCCGCUUCACAUGUAGAAUCUGCUACGACGCUUUGCUUGGAACUGCACCAGCUUACCGCACCCCCAUUAAGAAUAAAUACGUAUCCGGUCUGCGACUUAGAGUCAUCCGGAUCUGUAUCAAAACUUGCAUCGACGUAACCCUUUACGGCGAGCUCUUCGUCACCUCCAUACACGAGAAACAUCUCCUUAGUCCUUUUCAGGUACUUCAGGAUAUUCUUGACCGCCGUCCAGUGAUCCACUCCUGGAUUACUCUGGAACCUUCCUGCCAUACUUAUGGCCAGGCUAACGUCCAGUCUAGUGCACAGCAUUGCAUACAUGAUAGAUCCUAUGCUGAAGGAUAGGGGACGGUGCUCAUAUGUUCUCUAUCUUUAUCAGUUGCUGGGCACUGAGUCUUACUCAAUCUCGUACUUUGUAAAACCGGCAAGAACCCUUUCUUGGACUGUUCCAUUUUGAACCUCUUCAAAACUUUAUCAAGGUAUGUGCUUUGUGAAAGUCCUAUCAGGCGUUUCGAUCUAUCCCUGUAGAUCUUAAUGCCUAGAAUGUAAGCAGCUUCUCCUAGGUCCUUCAUAGAGAAACUUUUAUUCAAGUAAUCCUUUAUGCUCUCCAAAAACUCUACUUUGUUUCCAAUCAGCAAUAUGUCAUCCACAUAUAAUAUUAGAAACGCCACAGAGCUCCCACUCACUUUCUUGUAAAUACAAGAUUCUCCAACCACUUGUAUAAACCCAAAUGCUUUGAUCACCUCAUCAAAACGUUUGUUCCAACUCCGAGAUGCUUGCACCAGUCCAUAAAUGGAUCGCUGGAGCUUGCAUACCUUGUUAGCAUUCUUAGGAUCGACAAAACCUUUGGGUUGCAUCAUAUACAACUCUUCCUUAAGGAAACCGUUAAGGAACGCCGUUUUGACAUCCAUCUGCCAGAUUUCAUAAUCGAAAAAUGCAGCUAUUGCUAACAUGAUUCUCAUGGACUUAAGCAUCGCUACGGGUGAGAAUGUCUCAUCGUAGUCAACUCCUUGAACUUGUGAAAAACCCUUUGCCACAAGUCAAGCUUUAUAAACGGUCACAUUGCCGUCAACGUCCGUCUUCUUCUUAAAUAUCCAUUUGUUCUGAAUAGCCUUGCGACCCUCAGGUAGUACUUCCAAAGUCCACACUUUGUUUUCAUACAUGGAUCCUAUCUCAGACUUCAUGGCCUCCAGCCAUUUGUUGGAAUCUGGGUCCACCAUUGCGUCUUCAUAAUUUGCAGGUUCAUUGUUGUCUAACAACAUGAUUGACAAAACGGGAUUACCGUACCACUCUGGAGCAGCACGUGGUCUCGCCGACCUGCGUGGUUCGACAGGAACUUGAAUCGGAGUUUCAUGAUCAUCAUCAUUAACUUCCUCCUCAACCGGCGUCGCAACGAUAGAGGUUUCCCCUUGCCCUGCGCCACCAUCUAGAGGGAUGAGAGGUUUGACAACCUCAUCAAGCUCUAUCUUCCUCCCACUCAAUUCUCUCGAGAGAAACUCCUUCUCGAGAAAAGCUCGGUUUUUAGCAACAAACACUUUGCCAUCGGAUUUGAGAUAGAAGGUGUACCCAACUGUCUCUUUUGGGUAACCUAUGAAAAUGCACUUUUCCGCUUUGGGUUCUAGCUUUUCAGGCUGAAGCUUUUUGACAUAAGCAUCACAUCCCCAAACUUUAAGAAACGACAACUUUGGCCUUUUGCCAUACCACAGUUCGUAUGGUGUCGUCUCAACGGAUUUUGAUGGUGCCCUAUUUAAAGUGAAUGCAGCCGUGUCUAAUGCAUAACCCCAAAACGAUAACGGCAAAUCGGUAAGAGACACUACAGGAAUUAGCUAUUUUGCCUACAGGUAUAAUCUUUGCCGUCAGCAAAUCCUCGGGNNNNNNNNNNCAACUUUUCAGGCUGAAGCUUUUUGACAUAAGCAUCACAUCCGCAAACUUUAAGAAACGACAACUUUGGCCUUUUGCCAUACCACAGUUCAUAUGGUGUCGUCUCAACGGAUUUUGAUGCUGCCCUAUUUAAAGUGAAUGCAGCCGUGUCUAAUGCAUAACACCAAAACGAUAACGGCAAAUAGGUAAGAGACACUACAGGAAUCAGCUAUUUUGCCUACAGGUAUAAUCUUUGCCGUCAGCAAAUCCUCGGGGUUGACGGCAAACGGUUACUUUGCCGUCAUGGGCAGACGGCAAACAAAUACUAUCGUCAAAAAUAAAUAAAAAUAGACGGUAAAAAAAUACACACGGCAACAUAAAGUUUUUCCGUCAAUUAUUUGGCCAGAUGACGGCAAAGGUAGCAUUUUUACCGUCUUCUUACGCGCGGGCUGACAGCAAAAGUUUGUGCGUGUCUGCGUUAACGGGCCUAAACGGACACAUGAUUUGCUGUCUUUUAUUNNNNNNNNNNGUAGACGGCAAAAAAAUACACACGGCAACACAAAGUUUUGCCGUCAAUUAUUUGGCCAGAUGACGGCAAAGGUAGCAUUUUUAUCGUCUUCUUACGCGCGGGCUGACGGCAAAAGUUUGUGGGCGUCUGCGUUAACGGGCCUAAACGGACACAUGAUUUGCUGUCUUUUAUUUGGGCCAGCUGACGGCAACGAGUGAAACAAAUAAAUCUUUGUCGUCUCGUGCUCUACUCCGAAGACGGCAACGAGUGAAAAAAAUAAAAAAAACCAGCCACCCCAGCCCAGAUCACCUCACCUCUCGUGACACCCCUAAAAAAAAAGCUCACAUCUUAUCCUCGCGCGCACAGGUUACUGAAGGUCACCACCGGCCGUCGGCCUCCUUUGUCGCCGCCACUGGGAUCCCCGGCCGUCGCCGCCUCCGACCUCCGGCCUCCCGGUGGUCGCCACUGGACCGGCCAGUUCGCGCCUCCCCGCCGGUCGCAGCCCGGCCCUCUCCUCUCCUCUCCAGUAGCCGCGAGCCUCCCAGCCAUCGCCGGUGAACUCCCCAGCUGCCGCCGCCUCCCUGCCAGUCGUCCCACCGCCGGUCACCGGUCGCCGUGCCCCCAAGGAUCCAGGCCGGGGCUGCGGUCUCCCCCAAGGUCAGUCCAGUCCAGUUGUGCCCCGAUUGGUUCGGCGUUUUCCAGCCCAAAACAAUUGUAUUAGUCGGAGCUGUUUUGGUGGCGUUAGUUCGUGACUAGAUGAGGCGUUAGUCCAGUCCAGUUGUGCCCCGUCUGGAUCCUAAAAUCGCGCUUGCUUCGGUUGUUUUGGUGGCGUUAGUUCGUAACUUUACUUACGUGUCACAAAAGAACACUAGAACCAGGAAGAAUACUAGAACAAAAGUAGUCUGGGGAGACAAGAACAGAGAAAUUACUUGCAAGUUUCUGAAUUCGUAGCUACAGAAUUGCAACCUACACAGCAAAACCAAAAUGACAUCAGGGUAAAUAAUAAAAUAAAGAAACAACCAAAUGCAUGAAAGUAAAUUACAAAGAAGACAGAGAUUGGCUACCUCAGAUUGGCUACCUCACAAUGCUCAGUGCGAAAAAUCCACAUAAUAGACCCUACUCAACCGCAGAGUACAAGGGUAAAAACCAACUAACAGUCCCUAGUCAAAUUCACUAAAGGUAGAAUCCACUGAAAAAUUACAGUCUAAACCCACUUAGAGUUAUAGUGUAAAUCCUGUAAAAUCAACUAAAGAUAAUACAAAAAUAAUCCACAUAAUAGUCCCUGGUCAAAUGCAAAUUACAAGGGUAAAACCCCACUAAUAGACCCGAGCCAAAAUACACUAAGGAUUACAGUGUAAAUACACUAAAAACUAAACUGUAAAAAUCAAGAGUUACAGUACAAAUAGAAGAUAAAUCCAAGAAUAUCUAACAGUCACUACAAAAACACUAGGGAUUACAGUGUAACUUCUCUAAGAAUUACACUAUAAAAAUCAAGAGAUACAGUGUAAUUCUUAUAGGAUUACAAUGAAAGAUCAGCUAAAACCUUCAUAGUAAAUCCACUAAGAAUUACAGUGUAAAUCCAUUGCAAAUCACAGUAUAAAUCCACUAAAAGUACAGUGUAUAUCUACUGAAAAUUAUCAAAUCCNNNNNNNNNNUAGAGGCUUCCUAGGGACAGUGUUUUGUCUAUGUAUCCACACAUGUAUAUAAGUCUUUAUUCAAUACAAUUAUAGCAUGGAUAAUUAACGAUUAUCUUGAUAUAGGAAUUAUAAUAAUAACUAUAUUUAUUAUUGCCUCUAGGGCAUAAUUCCAACACCGGAUUCCGUGCUGAUGACAUUGGCGGAGUUCAAGACGGCAAGAGAGGCGUGGAACGCACUCAAGGAGAUGAGGAUCGGAGAAGAUCGCGUCACCAAGGCUCGGGCACAAGUGCCGACGCGCCAAUUUCACAAGUUGCAGAUGGAGAAAAUUGAAUCGGUGAACGACUACGCCAUGCGUCUUACUACUCUGGUGGGAGAGAUCUGCGCGCUUGGUUCAAAACUCGAGGAGANNNNNNNNNNNNNNNNNNNNNNNNNNNNNNNNNNNNNNNNNNNNNNNNNNNNNNNNNNNNNNNNNNNNNNNNNNNNNNNNNNNNNNNNNNNNNNNNNNNNGACAAGACUCCGUAUGAAGCAAUUUACGGACGUAAGCCAUGGGCCGGUCAUCAUCAUUGUCGGCGAGCGUCAAGGAGGACCCAGCGUCCCCGCCGAGCCACCACGUGAAGCGCGAUGACACGUCCCCGCUCCGGCGGGUCAAGGGCGAAUCUUCUCACCCUAUCGCAACCGCGGCGUUCAGAUCUGAAGUCUGGUCAAGGACGAGCCGACAUUGCUCCGGCGCAGAAGCUGUAAAAUUUAACAGGCCGCGAGUAGCACUCCAGCAGUGAUGCUAAACUACAGCACGCGUGCCGAGCACAAACAUAUUUUCCACUCAAACAUAGAACCAAGAAGAUCAAAGAUACAAAAAAAUAAAUCAACAAUAAAUAGUUCACUUAUUAUUCCAAUUAAACAAAUAGUUAAUGAAAAAUACAAUAAAUAGUUCACGAAUUAUGCAACAAAUAGUUUAUUUUCAGUACAACAAAUAGUUCCUAUAACAUCAACUCAUACGUUGCCUAUUGAAUGACCAUGCACCACUCCUCGACUGGAUCAUUUUAAAGCUCAUUAUGCGUUUCGGCACGUAGAAUGGCAUGAUAGGAGGUAACAUAGCGGGCCACCCUUCCACCGCUCCUACGCACUAGCAUGGGUCUUCCCAUCNNNNNNNNNNCGAAUGGCAUGAUAGGAGGUAACAUAACGGGCCACCCUUCCACCGCUCCUACGCACUAGCAUGGGUCUUCCCAUCAACUCGUACUGAGAAUUGUCUAAAUCUUGUCCACAUUCAUUGUCGAUGAUCAUGUUAUGCUUGAUCACACAAGCACUUAUGAAAAACCCGAUCAUGCCUUACAAGUUUCUUCGUAAUGUGUUUAAACAACUCGAUGCUCAUCCUAAAACGGCGCCAAAAGUAUGAUGUGGAGUAUGUGGAUUUCUCCACAAAGUAGCUCCUCAUUAAUCUGUUAUGGGCAUCAAUCCUUUCCCUCCAUAAUUUUUUAUAAUCGAAAACCGAAUCAUCGUGUUUCGAUUUUUUUAUCGACGUGGAUAGUUAGGAUUAUUAAGAUUUCCUUCUCCUNNNNNNNNNNCGGAGUAUGUGGAUUUCUCCACCAAGUAGCUCCUCAUUAAUCUGUUAUGAGAAUCAAUCCUUUCCCUCCAUAAUUUUUAUAACCGAAAACCGAAUCAUCGUGUUUCGGUUUUUUUAUCGACGUGGAUAGUUAGGAUUAUUAAGAUUUCCUUCUCCUCUUGAAGAUCAAAUUCUCCAUCGGAAGAAUAAUAGGAAGAACCCAUCCGCAAACAUGAAUUACAACUAAUUCAAAACUACAAGCAACAUACAUCAAAUUCAUCUACAAAUAUAAAGCUAAGCACUAUAUACCUUGUAAGUAUUUUUACAAACACUUUGUGGACAACGUGGUGCAAAUGGCCGUUAGACUCUGUUUUUUCGGAGGAACCGAGCGCUCAAGGGACGGCGACGAGGAGAGUAGAUAGAGGAAUCAGCGGGGGCUGCUUGGAGCAGCAGGGGAUCUGCAGCGCGCUGGGGAGAGGUGUGGGAAACGCUGACAGCAGGAGUGGGCGGAGGCGCCGGCGUCAGGAGGUUUCAGAUCCGACUGUUGAUGGUUCGCAUGUGAUUUUAUUUUUGUGCAGCGCGCUGAAAUGGACACAUGAAAUAAACCACUCGAUGUAGUUAUCUAGUUAAUUAAAUAAGGCCAAGGNNNNNNNNNNNNNNNNNNNNNNNNNNNNNNNNNNNNNNNNNNNNNNNNNNNNNNNNNNNNNNNNNNNNNNNNNNNNNNNNNNNNNNNNNNNNNNNNNNNNGUCACCUUCACGCCCUGCCACAGAUUAAAGAGCGAUGUCGCCAGAUCCAUCGCGCACAUGCCGCACCACCCCGUCUCAAGCGAGCGCGUGUCCGCCCAUGUAGCCGUCUGUAACGUCCAAGAUGUGAUUCUUUCCACAUUUGGAGGCGAGGCCUCAAUAGGGAAAGAGGUGCAUCUUAUCAUUUUGCAAGUACAUCAACCAUUGCAUUACAUACAAGAACAGAUGAGUUUAUUAGUUGGCUUACACUCACCACAAAUUCAGUUACAAAUCCACUCAACUAUUUAUUCAAGCCUCCAUAAGACAUGGUCCGGCUACGGACAAGAUAAAAAACAAAAUAGCAAUGAGUCUAUCUCGCUAGGACCAAGAGACGAACAAGGUCCUCUAGUCGUCGGGGUACGUCACGUACAUAUGCCCAAUUCCUUCGUCGAUCUCCCACGGCAACCGAGUAGCAUCAAAAGCAUCUGGAUCUCCUGCACUUGGACCUGUGGUUGCGUAGUAAUGUGUGAGCCACGAGGACUCAAUAAUCUUAUGACCAUGAUAGCGAGUCUAACCAAGUUACUAGGUGAGGAUGGAGAAUGUGUUUGAGUUUGCAGCAACACUAAGCAUUUAUGGUGGCUAACUUACGAGAACAUAAAGUAAAAUGAGUGGUCCACGCAUGACGGUCAUGACCUAAUAAUAAUCACUAAGUAAUCCUGAACACCUACUUACGUCAGUCGUAACCCCACCGUGUUCUCGAUCGGAGAAGGAGCUUCGAAGGAAACAGUCACGGUUAUGCAUACAGUUGGCAUGUUUUAGGUAAGUUAUUUCAAGUUAUCUAGAACCGGAUGUUAAACAAAGUUUUCAUGUUGCCACAUAAAUGUGGCCUCGGCUUUCCGAACGAUUUAACCCUGCAGGGCUGCUCCAACUAAUCCAACACAAAUUACCACAAGAUGCAUAGAAAGCCUCGAUCAUGAAACUCGUGAUCUCCUUGGUUUCCUUAGUGGAAAACUCAAUCUGAGAUAACCCAAAGCAACAGUGGAAUCCCGAUGCACAAGAUAUAUCGUCAAGGUAAAACAAGUCCAGCAAGACCACACGACGUGGUCAUGACCCCGAUAAGAGCCGCGUAUCUCAGUCUCAGGACACAUCGAACAAGCUAAGCGUACGGUGGCCUGAUAGAAAUCCCCCAGGUUUCCCUGGGGUGGCCACGCACGGUGCUCUAGUUUGGACCAACACUCAUGAGGAGCACUGGUCCGGGGGUUGAUUAAAUUAUCCUCAAGGUAGCUAUUCCCCAUGCUUUUUAAUUAUUAAGUCAUUAGCAAAUGUAGUACCAAAGUUGGGUCUUGACAGACAAGUCUUAAGCCAAAACGAUUAAUCAAGCGGGCCGCCAUAACACCUCGAGCGUGUUAAGAGUGCUCAAUUAUGGAAUAAAACACCGGUAACCGAAAUUAGGGCGGGAAAGGCGGAACAAAUCACCGAGAAAAAGGCCAACCUUCCGCCUUUUACCAGGUAUAUAGGUGCAUUAAUGAAAUAGCAUUAACUAAGAUUAUAAUCAAAUUGCGCAUGUUAUCACAUGGACCAGCUUGCACCUGCAACUAGCAAUGCUAUAAGAUGGUUGAGCAAGCACUAACUUAGCCAAUCAAUGUUUUGCUAGGAGGUGAAGGGUUAGAGGGUUUCAUGACAAUGUUUGGAGGUUUAAUAUUCAGGUGGUAGGCAGCGAUAAGUAACGAUGGAAACAAUUCAUCUAGGCAUAACAAAAUUACAAACAAUAUCAAGGUCACAAUCAUCUUGCCUAUUGGAUCCUCUGACUCGAACUGCUAUUGCCCUUCCUGAACGUACUCAACGAAAUCCUCGCACUCGUUCUUCGCACCCGUUUCUACCCAAAAUCAGUAUACAUCCAAUAAACACACAUCAAGUAAUAAUGCUUCAAACAAUAUGAUACAUGUGUGUGGCAUGAAAGAAAACAUGGAAUUGCUACACUUUCAUCUUUCCAUGCACUUAUUAAGUUAUUAGCAUUCUGAACAGAACCUCAAGUCAACUUAUUUUGACAUGCAUGAAAAUAAUAGAAAUGGAUGCAUCAUGAGAAAACGGUAUGUCGCCUAUAGUAAUAUAGCACACCGUGAGGAAUCCUUUGUCCGUGGCAGCUAGCCUGGGUUUAGUAAAGUAUAGUACUCUAUAGUAGUAUAGAACACUGAGAGAUAGAUAGAUGCUCAUUGUGUGGACAUAAAGUACCCCCCCCCCCCCCCCCCAAAUAAAAAUAAUGCCCAUCAACGGCAUUGUCAUAAAGCAAACAAGUUGCUGGNCAACGGCAUUGUCAUAAAGCAAACAAGUUAGCUGGUCACCAGACUACUUCCUUGCGAUUUUAUGAUAAAAUUAGAUGAACUGUGUAAACGAUGCCGCUUCUCCGUCAUGCUGAUGCAUCACAUUGUCACCCUGAAACUCAAACUCUUAAUCGUGGAGACGUUUCAAACGCUCAUCCUCUACGAUCAUAUUGUGCAUGAUCACACAAGCUAGCUUGGGAUUAGUAUAGUAUAGUACUCUAUAGUAGUAUAGCACACUCGAGAUAGAUCGAUGCUCAUCGGGAGGAAUCCUUGCAAGUUGUGUUGAGAUAAACCCAGUCCCCAACGGAUUUGUCAUACGGCAAACAAGUUGCUUGCCACAGGACUACUUCCUCGUGUCCAAAUCGUGCAGUAUGGCACAUUAUUAAAGCACGCACAAGAUAGAUUGAUGUCCAUCGGGAUGAAUCUUUGCCCAUUGCUUUGAGAUAAGGCCAUCUUCAACACGGAAGCUAAAAACGGACAGUCAUCCGGGAGCUAAAACUUCCUCGAUAUUUCUUCCUGAAGGUAAUCGGAUUAAAUUCAUUGUAUUUAUGACAUAUUAAUUUAAACAAAACCAUCUAGAAACAAAAGCUUCUAGAAGUUUUAGCCUAGUCUAAAUCUUUGCUGAUGCAUGUCCUCCAAGUCCUUGUUAUGCCCUGCCAUGUACAUGACCUACGUCCGUGAGCCCUCACUAGUGGAAAACCGGUCUUUGACCGGACCCUUUAGUCCCGGCCUGCCUCUGGACCGGGACUAAAGGCCCGGCCACGUCGCCCCAAUUCCCAAUGCCUCCCUCGAGGCUUUAGUCCCGGCCCGUAAGGAACCUUUAGUCCCGGUUCGUGUUCCAAACCGGGACUAAAGGGCUACGCGGUGUGCAGCCCGCAUGUGCGUCACCUUUAGUCCCGGUUUGUGUCUCAAACUGGGACUAAAGUCCUCUGCCUAUAUAUAGCACAGCCCCCCUCUCCCCUCUUCGUUGCAUUUUUCUUGGAUGGAGGAUUGUGGGUGGGUGCUAGCUCUCCACUUUUUUUUAUGCACUAGAGGUGUUUGUUGAAAUGUGUGUUAGAGCGAUGCUGCUUCAGUUCACCAAACACAACUACGAUAUGAGAUGCCUGAGCCACGCUUAAACCUCUUCCUCUUUAUUUCUACUUAUUCUAAAAGGUUAGCAACUAUAUUUCCUCGUUUAGACCGUGCGAUACUAAUUUUAAGGAUCGUGAUUGUAUUUGAUAUACUGUCGUAUAACACAGAUGAGCCAUCCAUGGAUGUACGGUGAUCGACGCACAGCCGCUUACAGAGAAGGCGUGCAUUCUUUUCGAGAUGCAGCCGAUGCGAACAAGCAUGGUGGUGGCUAUAUGUUUUGUCCAUGUGUUGAAUGUCGGAAUGAGAAGGAUUACACUUCCUCAAGAGUCAUUCAAAGCCACCUGCUUCGGUCCGGUUUUAUGUCGGGCUAUAAUGUUUAGACCAAGCACGGAGAAAGAGGGGUUAUGAUGGAAGACGACGAUGAAGAAGAAGAGAACGAUGAUGACAACUACCGAUCUAUGUUCCCUGAGUAUGCUGAUACCGCAAUGGAAGACAAUGAAGAAGAAGAUCAGCAUAAAGAACGGGAACCAGAUGAGCCCGCUGAUGAUCUUGGCCGGGUCAUUUCUGAUGCACGGCGAGGUUGCGACACAGAAAAGGAGAGGUUGCAGUUCGAGCAGAUGUUACAGGACCACAACAAAUUGUUGUAACCAACUUGUGAAGAUGGCUAGAAGAAGCUGGGUAGCACACUGGAAUUGCUGAAGUGGAAGGCAGAGACCGAUGUGACUGACUCGUCAUUCGAGAAGUUGCUGGUACUGAUGAAGAAGAUGCUUCCAAGAAAGAACGAAUUUCCCGCCAGCACGUACGAAGCAAAGAAGCUUAUCUGCCCUCUAGGAUUAGACGUGCAGAAGAUACAUGCAUGCCCUAAUGACUGCAUCCUCUACCGCGGUGAGAAGUACGAGAAUAUGGAUAAAUGCCCGGUAUGCACUGCAUUGCGGUAUAAGAUCAGAAAAGAUGACCCUGCAGAUAUCGAGGGCGAGCCACCCAGGAAGAGGGUUCCUGCCAAGGUGAUGUGGUAUGCUCCUAUAAUACCAUGGUUGAAACGUCUGUUUAGAAAUAAAGAUCAUGCGAAGUUGUUGCGAUGGCACAUGGAAGAUCGUAUGAAAGACGAUAAGUUGAGGCACACCGCUGAUGGCCGGCAGUGGAGAAAAAUCGAGAGAGAGUUCCCGAGAUUUGCAGCUGACGCAAGGAAUUUAUGGUUAGGUGUGAGUACAGAUGGCAUGAAUCCUUUUGGGGAGCAGAGUUGCAGUCACAACACCUGGCCCGUUACUCUAUGCAUCUACAACCUUCCUCAUUGGUUGUGCAUGAAGCGGAAGUUCAUUAUGAUGCCAGUGCUUAUACAAGGUCCAAAGCAAACCGACAACGAUAUUGAUGUGUAACUAAGACCAUUAGUUGAUGAACUUUUACAGCUGUGGGCCGAACGAGGUGUACGUGUGUGGGACGAGCACAAACAAGAGGACUUUGACCUUCGAGCGUUGCUUUUCGUAACCAUCAAUGAUUGGCCUGCUCUUAGUAACAUUUCAGGACAGUCAAACAAGGGAUACAAUGCAUGCACACACUGUUUGGAUCAGACAGAAAGUAUAUAUCUUGACAAAUGUAGGAAGAAUGUGUAUCCGUACAAUCGUCGUUUUCUUCCACCCAAGCAUCCCUUAAAGAAAAAAGGCAAGCAUUUCAAUGGCAAGGCAGAACCCCGGGGGAAGCCUGUCAUCCGUAUUGGUGCUGAAGUAUUUGAUAUGGUCAAAGAUUUAAAAGUAAUCUUUGGAAAGGGUCCUGGCAGCCAACCUGUUCCUAACGGCCCUGAUAAGCGCGUACCCAUGUGGAAGAAGAAAUCUAUAUUUUGGGAGCUACCCUACUGGGAAGUCCAUGAGGUCCGCUCGGCAAUCGACGUGAUGCACCUGACGAAGAAUCUCUGCGUGAAUAUUCUAGGCUUCCUGGGCUUGUAUGGGAAGUCAAAAGAUACACCGGAAGCACGGGAGGACCAGGAACGUCAUAAAGGAAGAGAUGGCAUGCAUCCAGGGUAGUUUCAAGGGUGUGCCAGCUACGCUCUUACUAAGGAAGAGAAGGAAAUCUUCUUUGAAGUCCUUUUCAGUAUCAAAGUCCCGACUGGCUUCUCGUCGAAUAUAAAGGGAAUCGUAAAUAUGAAAGACAAAAAAUUCCAAAACCUAAAGUCUCAUGACUGCCAUGUGCUUAUGACGCAAUUGCUUCCGGUUGCAUUGAGGGGAAUUCUACCGGAAAAUGUUCGCCUGGCAAUUGUGAAGGUAUGUGCAUUCCUCAAUGCAAUUUCUCAGAAGGUAAUCGAUCGAGAAAGUCUAUCAGGGUUACAGAUUGAUGUGGUCCAAUGUCUGGUCAGCUUUGAGUUGUUGUUCCCGCCAUCCUUCUUCAAUAUAAUGACACACCUCCUAGUUCACCUAGUAGAAGAGAUUAGAAUUCUCGGUCCUGUGUUUCUAAACAAUAUGUUCCCCUUCGAGAGGUUCAUGAGAGUCUUAAAUAAAUAUGUCCUAGCCAAUGAUGUCGCUCAGGUUUUCUAUGUGAAGGACAUGUCUACAAAAACAAGAAAAAGAAAUCAGCAAAAGAAGAUACCGUCCGAUGAGCCAAAACACCACAUAGUUCUUUCAGGGAAAAGAAACAUCGUGGGAGUAGAUGACAAGACAGACAUGUCAGAAGAUUAUAAUAAGUUUCAUGAAAUUCCGCCCUUCAAAGUGAAAACUGACCCAAGCAUCCUACUAAAUGAUGAAGAUUCUCCAUGGCUACGACCCAGAAGAAAACAGAAAUAAUAGAUAGGAAUAUUGGUGCAAUAAUGUAAUAAUGUAUUAAACCUUUUAUGUAAUGCAUGUAUGGAAUGUACUAAAUUUCAAACACUUUUCAUUUUCAUAGUAUCCAUGUAAGAGAUGAGUUCUUGUUCGAAACCCUGAUACUUCGAGACAGAUUGUCCGUUUUGUACACGAAGUGCAUCCAGUUUUUGUCGUAGCCCUCUCAACUUUUUAACACAUGCUAUGUGGGUGAAAUGAUGAUAGCAUGCCAACUUUCAACAUUUUCAGAGUUCAUUUGUAGUGCUUUUCAAUUUCAGGGUCAACUAGCUCAAAAAAAAUAAGUAAAUGCACGAAAUAUACCAAAUGAAGUCAGAAAUUGUUGAAAUUUUGUGAUGUGCCUUUGAAUGGUGCAUUUUGAACACACAAAAAGUAUGGACUUCAAAUAAGUUCAAAAAAAUGAAAUCCCUUUGUAAGAGAUGAGUUCUCGUUCGAAACCCUGAUACUUCGAGAGAGAUUGUCCAUUUUGUACACGACGUGCAUCCAGUUUUUGUCGUAGCUCUCNAUGCUAUGUGGGUGAAAUGAUGAUAGCAUGCCAACUUUCAACAUUUUCAGAGUUCAUUUGUAAUGCUUUUCAAUUUCAGGGUCAACUAGCUCAAAAAAAAAAAAGUAAAUGCACGAAAUAUACCAAAUGAAGUCAGAAAUUGUUGAAAUUUUCUGAUGUGCCUUUGAAUGAUGCAUUUUGAACACACAAAAAGUAUGGAGUUCAAAUAAGUUUAAAAAAAUGAAAUCCCUUUGUAAGAGUUGAGUUCUCGUUCAAAACCCUGAUACUUCGAGAGAGAUUGUCCGUUUUGUAGAUGGAGUGCAUCCAGUUUUUGUCGUAGCCCUCUCAACUUUUUAACACAUGCUAUGUGGGUGAAAUGAUGAUAGCAUGCCAACUUUCAACAUUUUCAGAGUUCAUUUGUAGUGCUUUUCAAUUUCAGGGUCAACUAGCUACAAAAAAAAGUAAAUCCACGAAAUAUACCAAAUGAAGUCAAAAAGUAUGGAGUUCAAAAAACCAUAUUAUGAAAUUAAAUAUUAUCAUUGGCGAUUCAUCUCUAUUAUGAAAUUCAAUAUAUCAAAAAACCAUUGCAGAACAUAUGACCAAAUUAAUACAAGUUCAUCAUCACAUUAAAGCCAAAGAACAGUAGUGAUCAAAUGUUAUUAUUGCAAAAAAUAAAUAUGUAAAGUUCUCUCAUAAAACAACAUGCAACUAUGUAAAACAUUUAAAUGCAACAACAAACGCGAUCAAAAUCGCAACUAAGGUAACAAUUGACCCAACAGCAUAAUGAUACCAAGCCUCUUUAUCAAUGGCAUAUUUUCUAAUAUUCCUAAUCUUCAAGCGCAUUGCAUCCAUCUUCAACCGCAUCGCAUCGAUCUUCAUCUUGCGAUCAUCGAUGACAUCGGCGACACACAACUCCAGUUCCAUAUUCUUAUCCUCAAUUAUUUUCAAUUUUUUCUUCAAGUAUUUUUUUUCUUUUUCAAUCAAAUUUAACUUCUCGACAAGAAUUUUUAUGUGGGUUGGAAUUUCCGGUUCACAUACCUCCUAGAUUAAAAAAACAUAUGUCACAUUGGUCGUCAUAAUUGUCAUAAACACUAAAUAAAACAAAUAGUUAUAAAAGAUAAUAUAUACCACAUCCGAAUCAUAGACAGGACAAGGGCCGACGGAGGCGGAUACCAAAACCAUCCCACUAUAUAAUAACAAAAAAUAAUGAAAGUGAGUAAUUUAUACAAGUAUGUAUCUAAAUCAUACAAGUAAGAUUUUUUUUCUUUUAAAAAUAAGAUAAGAACAAGAGGCUCACCAGGGUGGUGCUCGUGACGAGAUCGGCACGGGGCGAUCGACAAUGAUGAGGACGGGCACGGGACGACACCCUACGCAUGUGCAGACUCUAAGAAGUUAAUUUAAGCAUUUGAAAUGAGCUACACUAGCAGUGACAAAUGAAAGGAUGAAGUAGCUAACCUUUUAAAACACUUGUGCAGUUGGUGCACGGCCAAACCUAGACAAAUAUUAAGGAAAAUGGAGUUUGGAGGUUGAGCUUGGAGAGGAGAAAGCUUAAGUAGAGUGGCUCGGGCAUUUCAUCGAACACGUCAUGUGCAUGAACUAGAGUGGCAAGAGCAUGGCAUGGUCACACUUCAACAAACCAAAAAACAGGGGAUAUGGUGGGCAGGGGCGAGGGUUUAUAUAGGCAACACUUUACUCCCGGUUCUUGCCACGCCCCGGGACUAAAGGCCCCUGCUUCCUGCCUUCUGGUCUGCCGAAAAAGGGCCUUUAGUCCCGGGUCGUGGCUCCACCCGGGACUAAAGGGUGUCUUUAGUCCCGGUUCAAGCCACGCCCCGGGACUAAAGCCCCCUGCUUCCCGCCUUUUGGUCUGCCGAAAAAGGGCCUUUAGUCCCGGGUCGUGGCUCCACCCGGGACUAAAGGGUUCUUUAGUCCCGGAUCGAGCCCCGAACCGGGACUAAUGAUCCACCUGUAUAAGCGGGAGUUAGAAAAUUUCGAACCCAAAUCAUCCAUUUCUCUUCUUCUUCCUCUCGUUCUCCUGCCCGGCGCGCACAGCGACGAACUCGACGACGCCGUCAGGCUGUCCGCCGUCCUGCUCGCCGCCGUCUGCCGUCCUCCUCGCCGUCGCUGUCGUCCUGCUCGCCGCCGCCGUCCUCCUCGCCGCGCGCCGCCGUCCUCCUCGCGUGCCGCCGUCCUCCUCGCCGCGCGCCGUCGACACCUCCGGUAAGCCCCACACCCCCUCCUCCCCAACACUCCGGCCAGCACAAGCAAAGAAGAAACAGGAGAAGAAAAGAAGAAAAAGGAGAAGAAAGGAGGAAAAAGGAGAAGAAAGGAAGAAAAGCGAAGGAGAAGAAAAAAAGAAAAAGGAGAAGAAAAGAAGAAAAAGGAGAAGCAAGGAAGAAAAAGGAGAAGAAAGGAAGGAAAAGGAGAAGAAAGGAAGAAAAAGGGAAGAAAAGAAGAAAAAGAUUUUUUUUUGUCAUUUAAUUCCUAUUGUUAUUAGGUUUGUGCUAGAUUAUUAGGGUUAGUAAUAUGUAUAAUUAGGAAAAAGGAAAAUAAGAAGAGGAGGAGAAGAAAAGAAGAAAAAGGAGAAUAAGAAGAGGAGGAGAGGAGAAGAAGAGGAAAAAUAGAAGAAGAGGAGAGGAGAAGUAGUAGAAGAAGAGGAGAAGUAGAAGUAGAAGAAGAAGUCGAAGAAGAGGAGAAAUAGAAGAAGAGGAGAAAUUAGUUUAGGGUUACAAGAAGAAGAAAUAUUUUUUUAUCAUUUAAUUUUGCUAUUGUAUAGUGUAUAUGCUUAAGUGUUAACAGUGUUUCUUAGAUUAUUGCUUAAUUUUGCUAUUGUAUAUGCUUAAGUGUUAAUAGUUUAAUUUUGCUAUUGUAUAUGCUUAAGUGUUAAUAGUUUAUUUUUAGCAAGAAAAUUAAUAGAACUAGUUUAAGUUUGCUACUGUAUAUGCUUAAGUGUCCGGGACUGGGCUCCGCCCGGCUGGUAUUUUAGAGUUUAGGUUCUAGCCAAGACGCGGGACUAAAGGUCAUUCUAUAUAAAACGACACUUCAAAGUUUCCAACCCCUCUUAUAUAUUUGUUAGUUUAUUAGUUAAUCAAAUGUCCGUUUUUUGCAGAACUAUGGAUCCACAUAUCAGGAACCUCGAAGAGGAAGAACUUCUCGAAGAUAUAAUCAAAGACGGCCCCGACGUUGAACCAGCUGAAUCUCCGUCGUCAUAUCUAAACGGCUCCGGAUACAAAGCGGGAGCGUGCCAGCAAGAAUGCUCCGCCGACGAUUCCUAAGCCACGGAGCACCCCAAAGCGCAAACGGUCGCCCCUCCCAAAGGUACGUCAUGCUAAUCUUCCUAUCAGACCUUAUGAUCGUACCCUCGAGGAAAACGGCAGGAUAGCAAAGGAACAUCAUGAUGCGCAGAUGAAAAAGAAGGAACCCGAGCCCCGCCCGGAAUACACCGAGAAGCAAAUAGCAUUUGCAAAAUACUUCACGACCCUUCCAUCACAGUAUGACUUACACCAUAAGCCUGAUGACUAUACACGCACAUUGCAGAAGGAAGUGAAAAAGAGCAGAUCACGUGCAAGCCCUCCACAUGACGUCGGCCAGCACAACACGAGUCCAUCUCGAUCACCGCCGCCGGACUUGGGUCGUCCGUCUCCGCCGCCGCCCGCUCCGGAUACUAAGCGGGAGGGUAACACCAAGAACGCUCCGUCGACGAUUCCUAAGCCACGGAGCACCCCAAAGCGCAAACGGUCUCCCCUCCCAAAGGUACGUCAUGCUAAUCUUCCUAUGAGACCUUAUGAUCGUACCCCCGAGGAAAACGCCAGGAUAGCAAAGGAACAUCAUGAUGCGCAGAUGAAAAAGAAGGAACCCGAGCCCCGCCCGGAAUACACCGAGAAGCAAAUAGCAUUUGCAAAAUACUUCACGACCCUUCCAUCACAGUAUGACUUACACCAUAAGCCUGAUGACUAUACACGCACAUUGCAGAAGGAAGUGAAAAAGAGCAGAUCACGUGCAAGUGCAAGUGAGAGCAAAUCAAGUUCAACUACAAGCAAGAAAAAAUCAGACGUUCCUCAGCUUGGACAACAGGCAAAACAGUCGAUCCCACCGCUCAAGGUGUUAACCGAGAAUGUUCCCCCUCCGGUGCAGGGGCUAGCUUUUGAAAGAGCAAAGGAGUUGGCAGCUGAAUGUGGUGUCUCGGUUGAAGAUUUGCUGGCUUCCCAAGAUGACAGGAUACCCAAGGCUGUGGUAGCCCCUAAGCCACAGUUUUUCAUGGGUGAGCCUUUAGUCAGCAAAGAUGAUCUCCCAAAAAAUAUGCGUUACUUGCAUCAAUGGUACUUAAGUGAAUCAAAGAAUGGGAGAACGAUGAUCGUGCUGAGUGUCCCACAGGAGUAUUACGGCCGCCCCGAACAAAUCCAUAUCGACUUUGAUGAACUCUUUCAGAUGUACAAUGGCGACGCCCUCGACAAAUCACUUAUGAGUUGCUAUUGUCUGUAAAUUUUUCAAUUCGUUGUCUACAUAUAACUUGUUUAGUUAUUUCAAUUCAUUGUCUAUAUAUAACUUGUACUCUAUUAUGCAGAAUAAAGAUUCUGGAUUGUAAAAGUAAGAGCAUCCUAAAUAUUGGGUUUAUUGACCCAGAUAAAAUACAUAUAGCGACGCUAACUGAUUAUCCCAAGGAGACGGAGGAAAACCUUGUUUCUAACAGAUCAAAAUUUCUGUGACCACAUACUGUUUCCAUACAACUUCAGGUGAGGGUCUUUACUCUGUUGUGUCCAUUCACUUAUAAGUGUAACUGAUAAGUUACUGACACACAUAUAUAUAUACAUGUGCAGCUUCCAUUGGAUUCUGUUGGACAUUCAAAUUGAUAAGGGAAGAGUUGAUGCCUUCGACCCAUUAUCGAGACCCUUGGAACAGUUCCAAAGCGUGCAUGACAUGCUCCAAGGGUAAUUUCAAUCAUUCUUGCGCUCUAUCGGUCUCUUUCGAUGAUUUUCUGAUAUAUCAAUUAAUGAAAAACUUAGCAAAUCAUUAUCCUUGUCGGGCAGGGUUUGGAAGCGGUUCAAGUGCGUGACUCCCGGUAUCGAGCAUGAGAAGCUGACCUUUAGAGCGGCUCAGGUAAGUAGUAGUAUGAUAUACUUCUAUUUUCAAUACAUUUAUGAUGCUAGAUUAUUAUUUUGAUUAUAUAUAUUCUAUCCUCGUAAAGUGCGACCAGCAGCCACGGGGAACGCAUCUAUGCGGAUACUAUGUUUGCGAGACCAUUCGCACGUUUACCUCUGAGCACAAGGAUCACAGAUUCGACGUAAGCAAUGAAUAUUCAUCUCCACUUUUAUAUAGCACACGGCCAUGACGACGAAGGUCCUACCAGAGCAACGCCCGAUUGCUGUUGCAGAGGAGCUUGCGACCUUUCUGAGGACGGAAGCUAUAGAUGACAAAGGACGAUUUAGUGUAGCUAGGGGCCAUUACUGAUGUUCGUCCAUGUAAUCGAAUAGACGGGCUCUAGUCCCGAUAAUUCAGAUCUCCAUAUAAUUGUAUAUAUAUGCUCGCUUGUAAGAUAAGUUAACCUUAUAUAUAUAUGCAUAAUUAUUUCUAUUUAAAUUAUAUGAAAACUAAUUCCCGAACACCAAACGAGGCAUCACGUUAAUCUCCCGAACACCUAAACCCUAAAACCCUAAAACCCAAAAAUAAUUUCAUUAAAAAAACCCAAAAAUAAGCAAAAUCGGAAACUCUUUAGUCCCGGCCCGUGUAACGAACCGGGACUAAAGGUCCUACCCCUGGGGCGCUACGAGGCGCCCACGUGGAGCACCUUUAGACCCGGCUUGUAACAGGACCGGUACUAAAGGUUAGGCUUGUAACAGAGCACAAAUUUGGUGAACCGGGACUAAAGCCCCUUCUGUGUCGUAGCGGCGCGAACAAGCCCCGUCUGCGUCCAACGGUACGACGUGAGUAUUGCAUGCGUCCGCUGCUCCUUGACGAAGUUUAGGUUCUCAGCGGUCAUGGCCCACACGUUCGUGAUGUCACCUUAUAUCUGGCACUGAACAGCAUCGUCGGAAGUCUGUGAUACCAGUUACAUAGCAACCUGGUGAUACGAAGCAGUGUACGGCACAGCUACCACCACUAUCUGUCAGGGAAUUUGCUGCUUGGUGAGUUCAGAUCAGACGGCAGAAAAAAAGUAUGUCAUGCUCAAGGUCGGCAACAAAUCAACAAUCUCCCUCGGCAAUGUCAUGGUAUUCAGCCUCCACGCUAGAGCGCGAGACCGUCGCAUGACGUUUAGAGGACCAGGAGAUGAAUGUCAUUCCGAAGUAGAUUGCAGUAUGUUGGGCAGUCGGCAUCGGUUUAGGAGCAAAGAUCCAGAUUCCAGUGUGACGGAGGCGUCGGUUUAUUUUCCUCAGUUUGAGAACCAAGGUAUCAAUCUAGUGAAGCAGUAUCUCAAUAUCCUGCACAAACACGAAAACUUGCUCCCAACGCUAUGAAGGGGUUGUCAAUCCUUUAUAGAUUGUUUGCCAAGUGAGAACUGAAAGCAACAAAGUAACAAAGCAAAGUAAGAGCGGAGAUGUAAACAAUUGAUGUGAAUAGACCCGGGGGCCGUAGUGUUUACUAGUGGCUUCUCUCAUGAAAGCAAGUAGCCGGUGGGUGAACAAAUUACUGUCGAGCAAUUGAUAGAACUGCGCAAAGUCGUGACGAUAUCUAUGCAAUGAUUAUUUCUAUAGGCAUCACGUCCAAAACAAGUAGACCGAUACUGUCUGCAUCUACUACUAUUACUCCACACGUCGACCGCUAUCCAGUAUGCAUCUAGUGUAUUAACUCCAUAAGAACAGAGUAACGCCUUAAGCAAGAUGAUGAUGUAGAGGGAUAAUCUCAAACCAAUGAUAAAAACCUCAUCUUUUUUAGCCUUGAUGUCAACUACUUGACUGUGUGCCUUGCUUWCCCCUACUGUCGACUGGGAAUGGUCACCACAUGGCAGAACCCAAAACCAAGCACUUCUCCCAUUGCAAGAAUCAUAGAUCUUGUUGGCCAAACAAAACCCAAGACUCGGAGAGACUUACAAGGAUAUCAAAUCAUGCAUAUAAGAAAUCAACAAAGACUCAAAUAUAAAUCAUAGAUAAUCUGAUCACAAAUCCAUAAUUCAUCAGAUCUCGACAAACACACCGCCAAAGAAGAUUACAUCGGUUAGAUCUCCAUGAAGAUCAUGGAGAACUUUGUAUUGAAGAUCCAAGAGAGAGAAGAAGCCAUCUAGCUACUAACUACGGACCCAUAGGUCUGAAGUGAACUACUCACGAGUCAUUGGAGGGGCGAUGAUGAUGAUGAAUAAGCCCUCCAACUCCAAAGUCCCCUCCGGCAGGGUGCUGGGAAGGGUCUCCAGAUGAGAUCUCGUGGAAACGGAAGCUUGCGGCGGCCGAAAAGUAUUUUUGAGACUCCCCUGAUUUUUUGCGGAAUAUUUGGGAAUUUAUAGGACAAAGAUCUAGGUCAAGGGGCGGCCAGGGAGGCCACAAGCCUGCCCACCGCCGCCUCCCCCUGGUGGCGGAGUGGGGGCUUGUGGGCUCCCUGGAGCCCAUCUGGCUUGGCCCAAAGCCCCCCUGAUCUUCUUCCGUCCGGGAAAAAAAAUCAUUUCGGGGUUUUUCUUCCGUUUGGACUCCGUUCCAAAAUCAGAUCUGAAAAGAGUCAAAAACACGAAAAAACAGGAACUGGCACUUGGCACUGAGUUAAUAAGUUAGUCCCAAAAAAGAUAUAAAAGGUACAUAAAACAACACUAGUAGAAAACAGGGCUACCGUUCGGCCUUGGCCAGCCCAUUAGUCCCGGUUCUUCAAGAACCCGGACCAAUGGGGGGUAUUAGACCCGGUUCGCGAGCCCAGGGGGCUGGCCGGGGCCUCGUGGGCAUUGGUCCCGGUUCAUGUGGAACUAUUUGUCCCGGUUCGAGCCACGAACCGGGACCAAUGGUCCUCGCUGCGGGCCCACAACCAUUGGUCCCGGUUCGUGGCUUGAACCGGGACAGAUAACUUGCCUACAUAUACCCACCGCCGCGGCAGAGCACUCCACAGUGCUCUGUUUUUGUCAAGCCGGCAAGGGGAGGGCAUUUGGGUGCUCUAGUUCACCUCCUAUGCACAUGAGGUGUUCGAUGAAAUGCCCGAGCCACACUAGUUAAGCUUUCUCCUCUCGAAACUCGACCUCCGAGCUCCAUUUCCAAUGAGAUCUGUCUAGAUUUUGCGGUCCGUCACGCCCCGUCUUCACCGCCGUCGAUCGCCCGUGCCGAUCUCGUCGCCGGCACCACCGUGGUGAGCCUCUUGUUCUUAUCUUCUUUCUGAAAGAAAAAAAUUCUGACUUCAGAUAGAUACUUGUCUAAUUUUCUUACUUUUAUUAUUCCUUGUUAUUAUAUAGUGCGAUGGUUUUGGUAUCCGCCCCCGUCGGCCCUCGUCCUGUCUAUGAUUCAGAUGUGGUAUAUAUUAUCUUUUCAUAGCUAUUUGGUUCAUUUAUUGUUUAUGACAAUUAUGCCGACCAAUGUGACAUGGAUUUUAUUUAUCUAGGAGGUUGUUGAACCAGAAAUUCCAACCGACCCUAUUGUCGAGAGGUUAGAUUUAGUUGAAGAAGAAAACAAUUACUUGAAGGAAAAAAUAAGAAAAAUUGAGGAGGAGAAGAUGAUAUUGGAGUUGCAUGUUGCGGAUGUCGUCGAUGAUUUUGACGCUCAGAGUUAAAGAGGACAUGACCUCGUUGGAAUUGAUCUGUUGAAUGUUCCAUUUGAGGAGUUCUUCGAAUUUUUUAAUCACUUGCUACUGCCUGUAAGUAGUACUACUUCUGUCAUUAAGUCUUUAUAUAUAGGUCAGCUCUUUCAUUGCAUGUAUCUUUAAUUAUUCUCACUAUAUUAUGCAGAUUGAAGAUCGCCGGAUUGAAGAAAAGACAAAUCGGUGAUAUUGGGUUCAUUAACACAAAUCUCAUAGAUGCAUAUAUGGUUAAAUUUCAGGCCAAAGAUACCGAGGCCAAGGUGCUACAAUCGUUUAUAUUAAAUCAAAACAAAGCUAUAAUACUCUUCCCUUACAACUUCGAGUGAGUGUUACUGUCUUGUGCAUAUUCGGUUUUCCUUAUUAGUCGAGGUUAUAGUAAUGUAAUUGAUGAGUUAUGCAUGCAUGCGCAUGUUCCACUAUAUUCUCCUAGAGAUUGAGCUUGAGCAGGGACUACUAAUCGUCUUAGACUCGAGACGAAAAGAUCCCAAGAAUUACGCGGACAUGACUGAAAUUCUAGAGAAGUAAGUUAAAUCUAUCAUUAUCGCACCAUAUCGGCAACUUCAAUUUGUUCAUUGCCUGAUAUCAAGUAAUUGUUUUCUUUGUCUGGCAGGGUUUGGAGUAAAUUCACCUCAAAAACUCUGGGACUGCCAAAGAAGCUGCAUUUUAGACACCCGAAAGUAAGUACUAUAGUAGCAUAUAUGUUCCACGCGUCUUCUAUUGAUUCAAGCGCUAGUUUCAUCAAUACCAUUUAGUAUGCUUGCUAAUUAUCAGUUUGAUUGACCUCUAUUUUUUGUAAAGUGGUUGUGGCAGGAAGAAUGUACUAAUUACUGUGGAUACUAAAUUUGCGAGUCCAUCCGCCACACGACCUGUGAGCGGGGCUACUCCGAGAAACAAUAUGAAGUGCAUAAAUAAUUAUAUUCACAAUUUUAUUUUAUUACCAUCAUUUGUGUUCAGUUUCAUUUAUUCAUAUAUAUAUGUAUUGACCCCCUUCUUCAAAUUAGAUAUUUCGGAUGCGAGAUGAACUCCUAGCACCAGAUCGUAUGCGAGGAAUUCAAGAGGAAUUGGCGGCAUUCUUUCUUGACCACGUGAUCGCUAAAGACGGAGAAUACUAUGUGGACCCUGCAGGGUUCAAUUUUGAUAUGGACAAGAGUCACAUGAUGUUCACUAGUGAUGUCUCUCUCCCAAAAGACAAUAAACAACUAUGCUAGGGUAAACAAAUCACAGUUGGGAAAUUGACAGAAUUAUCAUCGCACCGCAAUGCUAAUUAUGCUCCUUGAUAGUUAGAGUCAGUAGUAAUGGGCAAUACGCCAAGACAAGUAGACCGUUUAUUCAAAAAUAUCUACUUACUAAUCAUCCACCUUGAGAUAUCUAUCCAGAACAUCUCUCCGGUAUUAAGUUGCGAGCCCCACCCAAAAUGUAAAUUCAAAGCAACGGACAACUCUAUUAACGAACUAUGCGUAAGGUAAACUAUCCUUGCAACCUUGGUCACAAGCACCGUUGUUUUCUCCUUGGUGGCAACAACCACAUCCCUUAGUCUCAUGUUUCUGUCACUCAAGCUAUACAUCGAGGGGCCCGAACCUACAAUCAUGCAUAACGCUCCCUCUUGGAGUUACGAUCUACUACUUGGCCAAAAUAAUAAAAAGCAACAGAGAACAUGCAUGAAUCACUAAGGAACAUAAAAUAAAAGGAUAAUGAAAUAUAAAACUCAUAACAAUCUGAACAUAAUCUCAUAAUCCAUCGGAUCCCAACAAACCGAGCAUAGCAAUAGCAAGAGAAUUACAUAGAUGCCUUGAUCAUGUAGGGCAGCUCACAAGGACUAACCAUUGAAGCACAAGAUUGGAGAGAAGACAUCACAUAGCUACUGGUCAUGGACUCAUGGUCCAAGGGAAACUACUCACGGUACUUCCGGGAGGCGUCCAUGGUGGUGGAGAAGCUCACGGAGGUCAAUCCUCCCUCCGGCAGGGUGUCGGGAAGAGGUCUUCUGACGCUCCCAAUAUCAAAAGCGCUGCGGCGGCGGAAGGAUGGAGAAAUUCGUGAUUUCAGAAAGUCUGCGAGGGUUUCCUCACGGAACACUAAAUAUAGGCCNNNNNNNNNNNNNNNNNNNNNNNNNNNNNNNNNNNNNNNNNNNNNNNNNNNNNNNNNNNNNNNNNNNNNNNNNNNNNNNNNNNNNNNNNNNNNNNNNNNNCGUCACGGCGGCCUCCAAGAAGAUGCGGGGCCUUUACCAAUACAGCGGCGCAGCGUGUGGUAAUCUUUGUCGGAGAAUGACGUUAUAAUCUCCUCCUUGCCGGAGGAGCCGGGCACCGUGGGUGUGGAAGGGCCCGGAGAGCGAGGGCGACGUUGCCAAGAACCUCUCGACAAAUAACUUCCACUGUCUCCGCCUACCGGCGCGGAAUACCAUGGCAGUGCCGAGGGAGAUUGUUGAUUUCUUGUCGACCUUAAGGAGGACAAUCUCUGCUCCACCAUCUGAUCUGAACUCAACAAACCGUAAACCAAGCAACAAAUUAAUCCCAUUACAGAUAGCGGUGGUAGCUGAGAAGCUAAACUUUGUCGAGAAGCAACAAGUCAAUGGACAAAGAUUCCUUCCAAUGGACAUCAAUCUAUCUUGUGUGUGCUUUAAUAAUGUGCCAUACUGCACGACUUGGACGCGAGGAAGUAGUCGUGUGGCAAGCAACUUGUUUGCCGUAUGACAUUUCCGUUGGGAAGUGGGUUUAUCUCAACACAACUAGCAAGGAUUCCUCGCGAUGAGCAUCGAUCUGUCUCGAGUGUGCUAUACUACUAUAGAGUACUAUACUAUACUAACCCCAGGCUAGCCUUGUGUGAUCAUGCACAAUAUAAUCAUAGAGGAUGAACGUCUGAAACAUCUCCAUGAUCAAGGGUUUGAUUUUCAGGGUGACAAUGUUGGUGCCUCAGCAUGACGGAGAAGCGGCAUAGUUUGCACAGUUCAUCCAAUUUCAUCAUAAAAUAAGCAAGGAAAUAGUCUCCUCGCCAGCAACUUGUUUGCUUUAUGACAAUGCCGUUGGUGGGCAUUAUUUUUAUUGGGGAGUGAAUUUAUGUCGACACAAUGAGCAAGGAUUCCUCCCGAUGAGCAUCUAUCUAUCUCGAGUGUUACAUACUUACUGUAGAGUACUAUACUUUACUAACCCCAGGCUAGCUGCCACGGACAAAGGAUUCCUCACGGUGUGCUAUAGUUCUAUUCGCGACAUUCUUUACAUGUUUUUGCACCGAUUUGUCAUUAUGCAUCCAUUUCUACCAUGUUCAUGCAUAUCUAAAUAAGUUAACUUGAGGUUUUGUCAAGAAUGCUAAUAACUUAAUAAGUGCAUGGAAAGAUGACUAGUGUAGCAAUGCCAUGUUUUCUUUCAUGCCACACACAUGCAUCAUAUUAUUUGAAGCAUUGUUACUUGAUGUGUGUCUAUUGGAUGUAUAUUUAUUUUGGGUAGAGACGGGUGCGGAGAAUGAAUGUGAGGACUCCGUUGAGUACGUUCAGGAAGAGCAAUAGCAGUUCCAGUCAGAAGAUCCAAUAGGCAAGAUGAUUGUGACCUUGAUAUCAUUUCUAGUUUUGUUAUGCCUAGAUGAAUUGUUUACAUCGGUACUUAUCGCUGCCACCAUCUAAAUAUUAAGCCUCCGAACAUUGCCAUGAAACCCUCUAACCAUGCCCACGGUUAUGUGGCAACAUGGAAACUUUGUUUAACAUCUGGUUCUAGAUAACUUGAAAUAAAUUAACUAAAAUAUGACAACUAUGUGCGUAACCGUGACUGUUUCUUUCGGAGCUCCUUCUCCGAUCGAGAACACUGUGGGGUUAUGACUAACAUAAAUAGAUGUUCAUGAUCACUUAGUGAUUAUUAUUAGUUCAUGACCGUCAUGCGUCGACCACUCAUUUUACUUUAUGUUCUCAUAAGUUAGCCACCAUAAAUGCUUAGUGCCGCUACAAACUCAAACACAUACCCCGUCCUCACCUAAUAACUUGGUUAGACUCACUAUCAUGGUCAUAAGAUUGUCGAGUCCUCGUGGCUCACAGAUUACUACACAACCACAUGUCCAGGUGCAAGAGAUCCAUAUGCUUUUGAUGCUACUCGGUUGCAGUGGGAGAUCGACGAGGGAAGUGGGCAUAUGUACGUAACAUACCCCGACGACUAGAGGACCUUGGUCGUCUCUUGGGCCUGGCGAUACAUAAUCAUUGCUAUUUUUUUGUUUAUCUUGUCCGUAGCCGGACCAUGUCUUAUGGAUGCUUGAAUAAAUUGUUGAGUGGAUUUGUAACUUAAUUUAUGGCGAAUGGCCAACUCAUAUACUCAUCCCUUCUUGUAUGUAAUGCAAUGAUUUAUGUACUUGCAAAAUGAUAACACUACAAGAAAUAAGCUCGUUUAUGACAAAAAAUAAUGACGGCGGUUUUUUUGAUCAUAGAUCUAUGACUAAAAUUUACAAAAAGGUCAUGAGUUGUCUUAGAGGGUCCAAACCCUAGGAAUUUUUGACCAUAUCUAUCAAGAAGUAUGCACUAGAGGCAAUAAUAAAUUAGUUAUUAUUAUAUUUCUUAGUUCAUGAUAAUCGUUUAUUAUCCAUGCUAUAAUUGUAUUGAUUGGAAACACAAUACUUGUGUGGAUACAUAGAUAAAACACUGUCCCUAGUAAGCCUCUAGUUGACUAGCUCGUUGAUCAAAGAUGGUUAAGGUUUCCUGGCCAUAGGCAAGUGUUGUCACUUGAUAACGGGAUCACAUCAUUAGGAGAAUCAUGUAAUGGACUAGACCCAAACUAAUAGACGUAGCAUGUUGAUCGUGUCAUUUUGUUGCUACUGUUUUCUGCGUGUCAAGUAUUUGUUCCUAUGACCAUGAGAUCAUAUAACUCACGGACACCGGAGAAAUGCUUUGUGUGUAUCAAACGUCGCAACGUAACUGGGUGACUAUAAAGAUGCUCUACAGGUAUCUCCGAAGGUGUUCGUUGAGUUAGUAUAUAUCGAGACUGGGAUUUGUCACUCUGUGUGACGGAGAGGUAUCUCGGGGCCCACUCGGUAAUACAACAUCACACACAAGCCUUGCAAGCAAUGUAACUUAAUGUAAGUUGCGGGAUCUUGUAUUACAGAACGAGUAAAGAGACUUGCCGGUAAACGAGAUUGAAAUAGGUAUGCGGAUACUAACGAUCGAAUCUCGGGCAAGUAACAUACCGAAGGACAAAGGGAAUGACAUACGGGAUUAUAUGAAUCCUUGGCACUGAGGUUCAAACGAUAAGAUCUUCGUAGAAUAUGUAGGAUCCAAUAUGGGCAUCCAGGUCCCGCUAUUGGAUAUUGACCGAGGAGUCUCUCGGGUCAUGUCUACAUAGUUCUCGAACCCGCAGGGUCUGCACACUUAAGGUUCGACGUUGUUUUAUGCGUAUUUGAGUUAUAUGGUUGGUUACCGAAUGUUGUUCGGAGUCCCGGAUGAGAUCACGGACGUCACGAGGGUUUCCGGAAUGGUCCGGAAACGAAGAUUGAUAUAUAGGAUGACCUCAUUUGAUUAUCGGAAGGUUUUCGGAGUUUCCGGGAAUGUACCGGGAAUGACGAAUGAGUUCCGGGAGUUCACCGGGGGGGCAACCCACCCCGGGGAAGCCCAUAGGCAUUGGGGGAGUAACACCAGCCCUUAGUGGGCUGGUGGGACAGCCCACAAGUGCCCAAUGCGCCAAGAGAAGAAAAUCAAGAGGAAAAAGAAAAAAAAAGGAAGGAAGUGGGAAGGGAGGGGGACUCCUCCCACCAAACCAUGUCCAACUCGGUUUGGGGGGGGAGUCCUCCCCCCCUUGGCUCGGCCGACUCCUUGGGGGUCCUUGGACCCCAAGGCAAGGCCUUGGUUUUGCUGGACUUGUUUUAUCUUGACGAUAUAUUUUGUGCAUCGGGAUUCCGCUGAUGCUUUGGGCUAGCUCAGAGUUGAGGUUUUCCACUAAGGAAUCCGAGGAGAUCACGAGUUUCAUGAUCGAGGCUUUCUAUGCAUCUUAUGGUAAUUUGUGAUGGAUUAGUUGCAACACCCCUGUAGGGUUUAAUCUUUCGGAAAACCAUGCCUGCGGUUAUGUGGCAACAUGGAAACUUUGUUUAACAUCCGGUUCUAGAUAACUUGAAAUAAAUUAACUAAAAUAUGACAACUAUGUGCGUAACCGUGACUGUUUCUUUCGGAGCUCCUUCUCCGAUCGAGAACGCUGUGGGGUUAUGACUAACGUAAGUAGGUGUUCAGGAUCACUUAGUGAUUAUUAUUAGUUCAUGACCGUCAUGCUUCGACCACUCAUUUUACUUUAUGUUCUCAUAAGUUAGCCACCAUAAAUGCUUAGUGCCGCUGCAAACUCAAACACAUGCCCCGUCCUCACCUAAUAACUUGGUUAGACUCGCUAUCAUGGUCAUAAGAUUGCCGAGUCCUCGUGGCUCACAGAUUACUACACAACCACAUGUCCAGGUUGCAACAGAUCCAUAUGCUUUUGAUGCUACUCGGUUGCAAUGGGAGAUCGACGAGGGAAGUGGGCAUAUGUACGUAACAUACCCCGACGACUAGAGGACCUUGGUCGUCUCUUGGGACUAGCGAGACAGAAUCAUUGCUAUUUUGUUGUUUAUCUUCUCCGUAGCCGGACCAUGUCUUAUGGAUGCUUGAAUAAAUUGUUGAGUGGAUUUGUAACUUAAUUUGUGGCGAAUGGCCAACUCAUACAUUCACCCCUUCUUGUAUGUAAUGCAAUGAUUUAUGUACUUGCAAAAUGAUAAGGUGCACCUAUUUCCCUAUUGAGGCCUCGCCCCCAAAUAUGGAAAGUAUCACAUCUUGGACGUUACAGACGGCUACAUGGGCGGACACGCGCUUGCUCAAGCCGGGGUGGUGCGGCAUGUGCGCGACGGAUCUGGCAACAUCGCGCUUCAAUCUGUGGCGGGGCGUGAAGGUGGCAGGUGUGGCCGGUGUUGGGGCCGCCGACGAUGUGCUGGCUACGCCCUGGGAUGCGUGUCGGUGGCGUGCUCGAGGAAGAUGGCUGCAGUUUCUUCAUUGAAGUGGUGCGGGCUGCCCUUGUCACGAUUAGGGUACAUGGCGUCUACCUCAUACUGCCCGGGGGACGACGGAUUUGGAAGGGUGAGCGUGGAAGGAGACCUGGUGGCUAUCGAGCGGCGGAUCGGGGUUGCGACGGUCCGGUGGGGCGCCUGGGAAAUGGGACGGCAGCCUUGAGGGUCUGCCUCGGUUGGAUCUGGAGAUGCGAGGUCCGCCCAUGGAGGUCUGAUGUCUCGGUGGUGCGUUGUGUCGCGGCUUCGGCGGCGGUGUAUGGGCAGGUGACCCUUACACGGGCAACUAGGUGUCGUCGGUUGGCCCCAUCCCUGGCCGCCUCGACGGUUUUGGGGGCUAAUACAAUGAGGAUCAGGCCCUCGUUGCCGGUGUCCUCCUUGUCACGUGGACCGGGGGUCCGGCCCUAUGCCAGUGUCACCCAUGCCAAGGUGUGGCCAUGGGCGGACCUCGUGGACUUGUAGUGUUGGGGAGACAGUUUGGAUGCCAGGGUGACGGGCUACACGGGUGGCUUCUCGGCAAGUCUCGGUGUUGCUGGUGUUGACGACAUUCUUUGGCCAUGAGAAUGGCAAUGGGUGUUGUGGUGCUGGAUCCGGGUGUAGGUCGUCCUCAAUGGUAGCUUAGCCUUGGUCUGGAUCUGGUGCUAGCGACUCAUGGUGAUGGGGUCUCCAUGAUGGAGUUUCUUUGAUGUAGUGGAUGUUGGGGCAUGGCGAAAGCUUUGCGCCAUGGCACCGGCGGUGACAUCACAUGUGGGUAUUGUGUUCCUCUUGGUUCUCCGUCGCGGUCCUCUCCUUUCCCUCCGGAUGUCAAGUUGAAAACCUCUGUUUGGCUCAGCUGGCGCGGCGAAGGUGGCGCUUCACGUCGUCACCCUCUUGGGGGGCAUCGGCGGUUAGAUCGGGUCCUCGGGCACACGGUGAUGGUCUCAUGUGCUUCUUCUCGGCAACCGGUUGGCGGCAUUAGCGUUCUCAUCUAGUUUCGUCGAUUUUUCUUUUUACCAGCCUUUGAGGAUUUCCUCAACACCUUGUAUCAUGGACUUCGUAUCGGUGUGGUUUGCCAUUAUCUAUAAAGGGGAGCUAAAGCCUAUUUCGAAGAUUAUUCCACAAGCAGCCAUCGUUUUAGAAGUAGAGAAUUUCUGAUAAAAGUAUAAUUACUAAUUUCGUCUGAUAAAUCAUAAAUGUAAUGAAUUUAAUCCGAUUUAAUUGAAAAUAAUCCGGUUUGCAAGAAGAUGGUCCUCCAAUUCCGGGGUAAAAUAUAGACAGAGAGGGUUGGAAGGUCAGUUCCCGUAUUAGUGCCCUCGCAUGCGCCGGCGGAUGGAUAAAAUGUUCGUUUUAGGUGUCAGUAUUGAAGAUGGCCUUAUUUCGAAGCAAUGGGCAAAGAUUCCUUCGGAUGGACAUCUAUCUAUCUCGUGCGUGCUUAAAUAAUGUGCCAUAACAAUUGCACGCUUGGACGCAACUAUGACAAUAGUGCCGUUGGUGGGCAUCUUUUUAUUGGGGAGUGAAUUUAAUACAAGCAUCUUUUUAUAUCAACACAACUAGCAAGGAUUCCACCUGAUGAGCAUAUAUCUUUCUCGAGUGGGGAGUGAAUAUAAUACAAGCAUAUUUUUAUCUCAACACAACUAGCAAGGAUUCCUCCCGAUGAGCAUCUGUCUGUCUCGAGUGGGGAGUGAAUUUAAUACAAGCAUCUUUUUAUCUCAACACAACUACUUCCUCCGUCUCGGUGAAUAAGUCAUCUUACGAAAAUUAAAUAAUCUCAAAACACUUAGGCACGAUGCAUUAACUUUCACCUCGUUUCUUGUUUUUUUGACAUAAAUAAAGGAAUCAGCCAAUAAGAGACGUGGGGUAUGUAUGUUUUUAAUGACUUGAGACUAACUACCACAACAUGCAUUGGUCAAUUUAUUGCAUGCAAUGAUAUUAAUUAGCAAAUUAGCAUUGAUUUCUCUUGUUUUCCUCACGUUCCUGGUCACGGUGCACAACCUAAGAUGACUUGUACACCGGGACGGAGGGAGUAGCAAGGAUUCCUCCCAAUGAGCAUCCAUCUAUCUUUUGUUUAAUAAAAUAUGUCAUAAAUGCAAUGAAUUUAAUUCGAUUACCUUCAGGAAGAAAUUUCAAAGUAUAUAGAAAAGCGAGUAUUAGUUUUGUAAAGUUAUAUUUAAUACUAUCCUUUGCAGAAUAUAAGUCAUAUUGGUUUUGUCUCAAGCCAAACUUGUUUAUGUUUGAGCAAGUUAUUAGAAAAGAAAUAUCAUCAUCCCGAAAUCCAAUUCGCCUCUUGGGAGCAUAUGCUCCUGCCCAUCAAAAAAGGUUUUAUUCAAAUGUUAAACAUUUUUGAAAAAAUGGAUGUCCUCAUUGUCAAACCCAAAUGCUUUGCAAAUUUUCAAGAGAAAAGCUCAGGCAUUUUGACAUCUGAGGAAAAUAAAACGGAACGCACAAUGUUACCUCUAAAUGGUAGGCUUAAUUUUGUCUUUUUUUACCGACGAAGCCCCGCUAUCCUGUUUUGCAUGAAAAUUUUCAAGCACGCUGGUUAGACUAACAUGAAUAUCCACACAAAUAUUUUUAAUAUUUUAACUAUUUAUUUUGAAUUUACUGUUCACUUGCGAGCGUAUGCUUCCUAGAGCCAGAAAGGCCCUCCUGAUGGAUGCCAAAUAAAAUUAUAAUAUAUGUGAAGAGGGUUGGAUGUUAGCUCCGGGAUGACCGUCCGUGUUUGGUUUCCGUGUUGAAGAUGGCCUUAUGUCGAAACAGUGGGCAGAGGUUCCUUCCGAUGGACAUCAAUCUAGAGAGUUUUUACGGUGCAUCAUACUACUCAAAAAAGUGAGUAGUAUAUUGUUGAUGGAAUGGUUAAUAUUAAUCCUUCCAAUUUUUGAGGUAGGACAUUUCCGUAAUUCACUCGUAGGGUAUAUUUAUCCUUUCUUAAAUUUAACACAAUCCUUGAAUAACGCAAUUAAUCAUAAUUGGACCCAUCUCGGCUACGCAGAUAUUUUAGUUUGUCUGCCAUUCAUCACUCAAAGCAUCCGCGCGAGUCCCGACGCCCGUCUCCUCGAUCGCACAAGGCCGAACGCCCGUCAUUGCACUGAGAUCUUCCUUCCCUGUGUCCUAACGACGAGGCAGCCGCCCCAUGUCAGUGUGCGUGCUUCUACAAACGGAACGGAAAGAAAUAUUAUCAACCUUGCUCGACCGGCAAUACCUCUGUGCGUGCUGCUGCUCCCCACCAGCCAUGGCUGCGCACACAUGACUGGAAAAGGCUGACUAUGAUUUUGAUAAGUGAAUUCAUGGUAUUAAUUUACAAACAAGCGAUGUGAUUCGGUAGUGCAGGAUUUGUGUGUGCGUGUGUGAUGGAUACUGAUGGAUUAGUUUGAGGGAAAAUCUUGUGCGUGCUUUAACAAUGUGGCAUACCGCACGACUUGGACGCGAGGAAGUAGUCUUGUCGCAAGCAACUUGUUUGGUCUAUGACAAUGCCGUUGCUGGGCUUCUUUUUAUUGGGGAGUGGGUUUUUCUCAACACAACUUGCAAGGAUUCCUCACGAUGAGCGUCUAUUUAUCUCGAGGGUCUAUUGAGUACUAUACACAACUUGCAAGGAUUCCUCACGGUGUGCUAUCUAUUUUUUCUUUAAUGAAACGGUGGAACGAGGGAUCUUUGCAAUGCCAACGCGUGUAUAAAUAUUGGCAGGACUACAUUUACAAAAUCAUUCAUUCAUUCUCUCACAGCAAUCGAUCCAUCUAAACUAGGUGGAACAGUACGUACACGGCAAAGCAAAUGGCCUCAGGAGUGUUUGGUACCCCCAUUUCGGAGAAGACGGUGAUAGCCACUGGUGAGUAUAAGGAACCCAUUACUCAAAAGGAUGUUGCAGACUAUACCAUGAAGAUGAUCAACGCCGGUGGUAAGGAUAUUAACGCACAAACCUUCGUCGACAAUCUCAAAGAGCGGUUCGUUUCUUUCGUUGUUUCCUUCAUUGUACGUCGUAUAUUUCUGCUUUUAGCAUGUUGUGAUACAAACAAAUUUCUUUUAGAGAGAGCUUAAUUAAUCUGAUCCAUAUUUUGGCGACACUGCUAUAUAGGUACGGUAACGGAAUAGCUGUAAAAUGCCUCAUCUACAAUGCCACUGGUGCCACUUUGAGCUUGGCUAAGUACAACGAUUGGCACGGCCAUAUCUAUGAUACACCCUACCCAUCAGAUAUUCAGAAUGGGCAAUGGGGUGCAUUCCUCCACGUCCACCCAAGUGGUGCUGCGGUUGGUUCAGCUGGUGCCGUUGUGUAUCGUACCAAGAUCCCCUCCAGCACCAGGUCCUGCGAUUGGUUGUUCUCCUGGACCGUCCCCUACAUUGGUGCCAACGGGGUAAAUACUGUGCAUUAUCUCAAAAAUGAUGUAUCUUACCUUUUUCUCUUUGUUCAUGCUCCAAACUAAUUUUAAGUAAAUUUAUAUGUAAUCCAAAUUAAAUUAACGGUGCAAUUCACCUCGCAAGUGAUGCAUUUAUAAAGCUGCAAACUAUGAUUCUUUUAAUUAAGAUGAUAGAAGAUCUUGUUUCAUUAGACUUGAUAAGUACAUAAAAAAUAAUAUUCCUAUAAAGCUUUAUGAAACAAUUAACGAUUUAAAAUAUGAAUUAACAUGCGUGCCCAUAUAAGAGUGUGAAUUUUAUUUAGGGACAAGGGAAUACCUUCAUAUUCGCAUCUCAAUUCAUAUGAACUUAACUCAUAAAAAUAAAUAAAUAAAUAAUCUAAACUAAAUUCAAUUGAAUUUACUUACUACAGUUUUUCAACUGAAAAAACAUUACGUAUAUGUCAAACUCUACUAGUGCAUAUUCUAAUACUUUAUGUAUGUAGGUGUACACCGAAAUCCGUGAGGAAGGACACUACCCAAAUGUGGGAAGCUGGGGUUAUAUCUAUGGUGUGAAGCUUGCAAAUUCAGAUCUCAACUCUACUGAUAAAAACUAUGGAUAUGUUUCCAAGACUAAUAUCGGUGAAGGCUCUACCAUGAACGCCCGUGGAGUUUUCCAGUAUCCCUACUAGAUCUCGUUAUCAACAUCAAAGGCUUGUGUGGCGAAGACGUUGCGGUGUAUUUCCUAAGAGCCGGUGUACAAACUAUGGAUAUGUUUCGUCUACUAUCUUUGUGGUGCAUUUCCUAAGAUCGGGUGCUUAUGAAUAAUCAAGGAAGAAGACAAUAAAUGAGAUAUCAUGUGUGAUUUUAUAUUAUUUACAAGUCGUUUGUGUCAAGCUAUCCCUCUUUUGUACCCACUACUGUUAUCCUAAAUAAAUAUCAAAUUUAUGAUACUCCCCCGUCUCGGUUUAUAAGUCAUCUUAGAAAAACCAAAUAAUCCCCAAAAAAAAUUAGGCACAGUACAUUAACUUUCACCUCAUUUCUGUUUUUUUACAUGAAUAAAGGAAUUAACCAAAAAGAGACGUGGGGCGUUUAUGUUUUUAAUGACUUGAGACUAACUGACAUGACAUGCAGUGGUCAAUUUAUAGUAUGGGCAUUAUAUUAGCAAAUUAACUUUAAUUUCUCUCGUUUUCCUCUUUGUCUUGGUCGCAUUGCACAACCUAAGAUUACCUAUACACCGAGACGGAGGGAGUACUCUUCCGAGUGUCUUUUCUUAAAAUGGAAAUUAAAUAAAAACUAAAGUUAGGAACCAACCAUUUUCUAAUGGAGUACAUAUAGACGGGAGAUGAAUUUACCCCCACAAGUUUAUACCACGUUGAAGUUCUAAUAUACCGUUUUGAUAAAAAAUACUUUAAUAUAGCUAUAUCUAAAUCUAUGUAUACUCAUUGUGAAGGCUUUAGACUUCUUAUUAUGAAUAAAGUCAUUUGAAAGUAUAUUGUUCUUUAAUUUCUUGACAUAAAAAGAAGUUUUGAUAAUUAUAAUUGUGAAACGAUAUGUAAAUUAUGGAUAACCAUAACACCAAUAAUACAAUCCAAAAUAUUCAAUUGAACUAAUGCUUCAUCCUAUGUGUUAGAGUUGUGUUGAAUAUUGUGUUCAAGGUAUGUUAUAUUUGGACUCUGAGUUGUAUUGUGUUUAGAUAGGAUAUGCCCUUGACCUCUCAUAUAUAGUGGAGGCAGACAAACGAAAUAACCUAUGCUAAUAUAAUAGCACAUGAACGCAGGCGAGACGGCGGCAUGUGUCGAUGCCCAGGACGGUCUGGGUACGGUAUUGUGACGGCGUCACGGCAAGGAGCGUCUGUAAUCAAGCUCCGGGGACGUAGUCAUAUCGUUGAACCUCAUUAACAAAUAUCGGUGGCGUGCUCAUUUGACUGCUUGGUCCUCGGAUGAACGACUAUACAUCUCUUGUUUAUUCUAUCAAGUGGUAUCAAUGCUAGGUUAUCUGGGGUUGAUGGUUGAUCUAGAGGAAAAGGAUGAAAGAAAUCGUAAAGAAGAUCAGUUGGAUUUAAGCUACACUUGACCGAUUUCGAGCGUUAAAACUGGAAGAGAUCAAAGUUGACAGGAGUCAUUGAAAUCAACGCGAACUUCGGAGCGUGUCAACAGUGGCAGAUCAUAUGCAUACAACGGCGGCGAUGCUAGCUAGGGCAUGCAGGCCUAGUUGGCAUUGUUCGCUGGACGUACGAUGCAUGCAUGAAUUACAAGAUACAGGGGGAGAUUUCCAUGAUAUAUAUCAUCAAUAUGCAUUUGCUGUCCAACGAAAACUUCUCAAAUAUGCACAUCUUUAAGGGGAGUAUCUCUGUAUCUUGCAAUCAAAUUCCUCAAACUGUGUACUUACAUUUCAUAUUAUUAGCCCUGUUGAAAACUUAACCUAGUUGUCAUCAACCACCAAAAAGGGGGAGAUUGUAAGUGCAUCUAGUGCCCCUUAGUGAUUUGGAUGGUUGGAAGAUUUAUAGGUUAAGAGACUGAUAAGUUUGUAAAUGUACACAGGCUCUAUAUAUGUAUUUGAGUAGUUUGAGUUAUUCGAUGAAUAUCGACCCCUAAAAAUGUAUUUCUUCGAGUGAAGCCUUUGGUCAUUCCUUGAAGACUUUGAUCGUGAAGAAAUUGAUAUUCCUCUUAAUGAUAUUAAAGAUGAGAAAUUCGGUGUGUACCGAAGAAAAUACUCUGAAGACUUUGAAGCGUGAAUAUUUACUCUUUCUGUUUCAUUUUCUUUAUUCUUGAGUUAUAGGAACACCGUACUGUUAAAGGGGGUCAAGGUAAAAGUACCGAAAGAAUUUCCUCAUGAUGCUCAACCCAAACCUACACCUAUUAAAUCCUCAGAGUGAGGUACAUGAGAUACACGAGGACUUUCACAAUUGAAAGUUCCGACCGUUGCCGCGCCACGCGCCACCUGUCCCAAAUCUUAUCCACGCAACGUUCAUAUCAUUAAGGGCGUUUAUGUCAAAUCAUGUCGGGAUGCUCCCAAGAUAUAAAUAGCUGCCCCCACAACCACUAGCUGGUUGGCUGCUCUGAGAGAAACUGACACUAGUCAUUUAGAGCGACCCAAAUUCCUCAAAGCCUUUGAGCGAAAAUCAUCAAGUAAGGAAAUACCUCAAACACUCAAACCCAAACCAAAACCCAAGUUAUUGAGCAUCUCCGAAGAAGUUAUUCCUGUGUGGAACCGAUGCUUGUAACCUUUGAGGACUGUGCAUCCACCAGAUGGUUAGGCAUCAUCGUCUAGAGCAUCCAGCAGUCAAUUGUGGAUUGUCGGGUCACCUAGUUUGUGAGGGUUUGGAAGUAUGCCAUGAAGACUUACCGUGAGUGUUGUAGCGAUCUACAAGGGUAUGUAGAUUCACUCUCCCCUCUCGUAGAUGAUCAUCAUCAUGGAUAGGUAUUGCAUGUGUAUAGGAAAAUUUUUGUUUUCCAUGCGACAUUCCCCAACAGUAUAAAAUUUAAAACACAUGCAUUCUGUAACAGAAAACAAAUGGUUAAUACGGUAGGACUGUGUGUCCUUAGCUCAAGGAGAAUACGGUAGGAACCGUGUGUCCCGGAACUGUGUGUCCCGUGACUGUGUGUCCCAGGACUGUGUAGAUGGAGAUCAUCACCAAGAUGUACGUGUGCUGAACGCGGAGGUGCCGUUCGUUCGGCACUAGAUCGGAAUGGAUCGUGAUGGGAUCGCAGGACUGAUCGUGUUGAGAUCGUGGGACGGGCUGCGAUUUGGAUCGUGAAGAUGUUUCACUACAUCAACCGCGUUAUAUACGCUUCCGCUUAGCGAUCUACAAGGGUAUGUAGAUUCACUCUCCCCUCUCGUAGAUGAUCAUCAUCAUGGAUAGGUAUUGCAUGUGCAUAGGAAAAUUUUGUUUAAUCCAACAGUUUUGGGAUAAAUUAUUAUGAAUUUUGUUUUGAAUUCCCAUCGUGUGAAAUUGUAAUGUUAAUAAUAAUAAUAAUAAUAGUAAAAUAGUAAUAAUAGCAAUAAUAAUAACAAUAAUAAUAGCAAUAAUAAUAACAAUAGCAAUAGAAAUAACAAUAACAACAUCAAUAAUACUACUAAUAAUUAUAAUGAUGAUGGUGAUGAUGAUGAUGAUGAUGAUGUAGGGACAUACUCUUGCACAAGAUCCUCAAACAAGAUUUUACUCUCCUUGAGCCAUUUUGAGAAUUGAUUUGGUACAAAAUGCUGAAACUUUUUGGCAUUAUCAAGCGCAGCUUUCUUAUACAUGCCGGCCUCAAGAGCAAGGCGCUGAGCUUCCUUCUGUUGGGUGGCUGGAUUGAGCCACUUUAGCUGUUUGAUGAGGUCUUCACUGUGGGUCUUGAGCUUGUCAAGGUAGGUGAGACGGGUGUUGUAACUACGGAUGAAUUGGAGGGAUGUUCCGAUGGCCUUGGUGCAGUAGUCAUACACAUCCUUGGCAAUAGAUUGCUUGGCGGGGUCCUCGGUUUGUUUUAUCAUGUCCUGUGCACUGUCAAGGACAUGGUACACCUUAUCACGGGCAUCUUUCGCAUCGUUGAGGUACUUUUGCUGCUCCGCGUAUGACUGGAACUCGAGCUCUAGAAGCUUCUGCACUUCUUGUCGGUGGAUCAAAUCAGCUAGCUUAUGAAGCUGCCCUGGACUUAAAUCAACUGGAUCACGAGACAUGAUGUACGCGGUACACCUGAAAAAAAACUACAACCAAAAAAAGUCAAAGGGAGAGACGGAAGGAUACAAGACACUAGGAUUCGAUUGCAUACAGACACGAAAUAAAAUAAUAACUGCGCCGCUUUCAUGUAGGGGGCUGAGUUUGCGAAUGGGUCUUCUUGCGUUUACACAUAACAUCUACCGUGUGGCUUGGGUCGACGAUGGUAUCCGAUGAAGUCGAAGUCGCUUGCUCGAAGAUUAGAGAGGACGAUGACGCAUAUUGGGGAGAAAUGAUAACCAUGACGCCGGAGUGCUAGGUUGUUGAGGCCCUGUAUGUUGACGUAUGGGUGAAGUUUUAUGUGUGUGCCGCUUAGCUGUUUGUGAUGGUUUUGGUUCAGUUUUUCAUUAAUUAACUAGAUAACUCUCUUCAAUAUUUAAGUAAGGAAGGGAAGGGAAGGGAAGAAGCAUUCACCUUGGCCUUGGCGACCACAGAGGAAGGAUCCGAGCAGAGACUCUCUCUCUCUCUCUCUCACGCCUUAGUUGGUGAGAAUGGAGAGACUAGUUGUCGGUAUUUAUAAAGAAAGAGAGGCAGAUGCCUAAGUGGGAAAACGAGGGGCAGGGGCAUGGGCUUCCGCUUAGAUUACACCAACCUUUUCUCUAUUUGGAAUGAGGAUUGCAACUUUGCCACUUCUAUGUAGUUUUGUCUUAUUCCCAAAGUUUAUGCUGCUUCAUCAAGCAUCUGAAGGCGCUAAACAAGAAGCGCGCCUAAAAAAACAGGAUAUAUAACGCGCUGAUGAAAGCAACUCCCAAACAGCCGUGUAAAAAAUGCCGCGCACGGUAAAAGAACGUCAGCACGCUGGGAAAAACUACAUCGAGUGGUUUAUUUGAUGUGUCCGUUUCAACGCGCUGCAUAAAAAUAAAAUCACGUGCGAACCAUCAACAGUCGGAUCUAAAACCUCCUGACGCCGGCGCCUCCGCCCACUCCUGCUGUCAGCGUUUCCCACACCUCUCCCCAGCGCGCUGCAGAUCCCCUGCUGCUCCAAGCAGCCGCCGCUGAUUCCUCUAUCUACUCUCCUCGUCGCCGUCCCUUGAGCGCUCGGUUCCUCCGAAAGACAGCGUCUAACGGCCAUUUGCACCACGUUGCCCACAAUGUGUUUGACAAAAUACUUACAAGGUAUAUAGUGCUUAGCUUUAUAUUUGUAGAUGAAUUUGAUGUAUGUUGCUUGUAGUUUUGAAUUAGUUGUAAUUCAUGUUUGCGGAUGGGUUCUUCCUAUUAUUCUUCCGAUGGAGAAUUCGAUCUUCAAGAGGAGAAGGAAAUCUUAAUAAUCCAAACUAUCCACGUCGAUAAAAAACCGAAACACAAUGGUUCGGUUUUUUAUUGUAAAAAAUUAUGGAGGGAAAGGAUUGAUGCCCAUAACAGAUUAAUGAGGAGCUAUUUUAUGGAAAAUCCCACAUUCUCCGCAUCAUACUUCUGGCGCCGUUUUAGGAUGAGCAUCGAGUUGUUUAAACACAUUGCGAAGAAACUUGCAAGGCAUGAUCGGGUUUUUCAUAAAUGCUUGUGUGAUCAAGCAUAACAUGAUCAUCGGUAAUGAAUGUGGACAAGAUUUAGACAAUUCUCCGUAAGAGUUGAUGGGAAGACCCAUGCUAGUGCGUAGGAGCGGUGCAAGGGUGGCCCGCUGUGUUGCCUCCUAUCGUUGCCAUUCGACGUGCCGAAAUGCAUGAUGAACUCUAAAAGGAUCUAGUCGAGGAGUGCUGCAUGGUCGUUCAAUGGGCAACGUAUGAGUUGGUGUUAAUUAUAGGAACUAUUUGUUGUAUUGAAAAUAAACUAUUUGUUGCAUAAUUCAUGAACUAUUUAUUGUAUUUUUCAUUAACUAUUUGUUUUACUUGGAAUAAUAAUUGAACUAUUUAUUGUUGAUUUAUUUUUUUGUAUCUUUGAUCUUCUUGGUUCUAUGUUUGAGUGAACAAUAUGUUUGUGCUGGGCACGCGUGCUGUAAUUUAGCAUCACUGCUGGAGUGCUACUCGCGGCCUGUUAAAUUUUACAGCUUUUGCGCCGGGGCAAUGUCGGCUCGUUCUUGACCAGACGUCAGAUCUGGACUCCGCGGUUGCGAUAGGGUGAGAAGAUUCGCCCUUGACCCGCCGGAGCGGGGACGUGUCAUCGCGCCUCACGUGGUGGCUCGGCGGGGACGGUGGGUCCUCCUUGACGCUCGCCGACAAUGAUGAUGACCGGCCCAUGUGAUGGAACGAACGCUCCGUCAUUAUCUCGAUCUGACUGACAAAUUCUUUAUUCGUCACGGCGGCCUCCAAGAAGAUGCGGGGCCUUUACCAAUACAGCGGCGCAGCGUGUGGUAAUCUUUGUCGGAGAAUGACGUUAUAAUCUCCUCCUUGCCGGAGGAGCCGGGCACCGUGGGUGUGGAAGGGCCCGGAGAGCGAGGGCGACGUUGCCAAGANNNNNNNNNNNNNNNNNNNNNNNNNNNNNNNNNNNNNNNNNNNNNNNNNNNNNNNNNNNNNNNNNNNNNNNNNNNNNNNNNNNNNNNNNNNNNNNNNNNNAGAUUGCCGGAAGGUUUUCGAAGUUACCGGGAAUGUGCCGGGAAUAACAAAUGGGUUCCGGGUGUUCACCGGGGUGGCAACCCACCCCGGGGAAGCCCAUAGGCCUUGGGGGUGGUGCACCAGCCCUUGAUGGGCUGGUGGGACAGCCCAAGAAGGCCCUAUGCGCCAAAGGAUAAGAAAUCAAAGAAGAAAAAAGGGGGAAGUGGGAAAGGAGAGAAGGACUCCACCUUCCAAUCCUAGUUGGAUUCGGUUUGGANNNNNNNNNNCUCAUAUCAGCCCAAGAAGGCCAUAUGCGCCAAAGGAUAAGAAAUCAAAGAGAAAGAAAAAAAGGGGAGGUGGGGAAGGAGAGAAGGACUCCACCUUCCAAUCCUAGUUGGAUUCGGUUUGGAAGGGGAGGACUUCCCCCCUUGGUUCGGCCAACCCCCUUGGGGCUCCUUGAGCCUCAAGGCAAGGCCCCUCCCCUCCCACCUAUAUAUACACAGGUAUUAGGGCUGAUUUGAUACAACUUUUCAAAGGCAGCCCGACCACAUACCUCCACGGUUUUACCUCUAGAUCGCGUUUUUGCGGAGCUCGGGCGGAGCCCUGCCGAGAUCAGAUCACCACCAACCUUCGGAGCGCCGUCACGCUACCGGAGAACUCAUCUACCUCUCCGUCUCUAUUGCUAGAUCAAGAAGGCCGAGAUCAUCGUCGAGCUGUACGUGUGUUGAACGUGGACGUGUCGUCCGUUCGGCACUAGAUCGUGGGACGGAUCGCGGGACGGUUCGCGGGACGGUUCGCGGGGCGGAUCGAGGGACGUGAGGACGUUCCACUACAUCAACCGCGUUCACUAACGCUUCUGCUGUGCGAUCUACAAGGGUAGGCAGAUCGGAAAUCCCCUCUCGUAGAUGGACAUCAUCAUGAUAGGUCUUCGUGCGCGUUGGAAAAAUUUUGUUUCCCAUGCGACGUUCCCCAACAGUGGCAUCAUGAGCUAGGUUCAUGCGUAGAUGCCUUCUCGAGUAGAACACAAAAGAUUUUGUGGGCGGUGAUGUGCGUUUUGGUGACCUCCUUAGUCUUUUCUUGAUUCCGCGGUAUUGUUGGAUUGAAGCGGCUUGGACCGACAUUACUCGUACGCUUACGAGAGACUGGUUUCAUCGCUACAAGUAACCCCGGUGCUCAAAGAUGACUGGCAAGUGUCGGUUUCUCCAACUUUAGUUGAAUCAGAUUUGACCGAGGAGGUCCUUGUAUAAGGUUAAAUAGCAAUUCAUAUAUCUCCGUUGUGGUGUUUGCGUAAGUAAGAUGCGAUCCUACUAGAUAACCAUGGUCACCACGUAAAACAUGCAACAACAAAAUUAGAGGACGUCUAACUUGUUUUUGCAGGGUAUGCUUGUGAUGUGAUAUGGCCAACGAUGUGAUGUGAUANNNNNNNNNNNNNNNNNNNNNNNNNNNNNNNNNNNNNNNNNNNNNNNNNNNNNNNNNNNNNNNNNNNNNNNNNNNNNNNNNNNNNNNNNNNNNNNNNNNNCUAUAUAAGACGGGUUGGAAACUUCGUAGUGUCGUUUUAUGUAGGAGGACCUUUAGUCCCGGGUCUUGGCUAGAACCUAAACUCUAAAAUAUGUCUAACGGAUUCUCUUAACCUUCUAAUUUUUUCUCUUCUUCUACUUCUCCUCUUCUUCUAUUUUUCCUCUUCUUCUCCUCUCCUCCUCUUCUUAUUCUCCUUUUUCUUGUUUUCUUCUCCUCCUCUUCUUAUUUUCCUUUUUCCUAAUCUUAUUUUCUUAUUUUUGUUCAUAUUUCUUCUUCUUGUAACCCUAACCUAAUUCUAAAUAUUACUAACCCUAAUAAUCUAGCACAAACCUAAUAACAAUAGGAAUUAAAUGACAAAAAAAAUCUUUUCUUUUCUUCUCCUUUUUCUUCUUUUCUUCUCCUUUUUCUUCCUUUCUUCUCCUUUUUCCUCCUUUCUUCUCCUUUUUCUUCUUUUCUUCUCCUUUUUCUUCUUUUCUUCUCCUUUUUCUUCCUUUCUUCUCCUUUUUCUUCCUUUCUUCUCCUUUUUCUUCCUUUCUUCCCUUUUUCUACUUUUCUUCUCCUUUUUCUUCUUUUCUUCUCCUUUUUCUUCUUUUCUUCUCCUUUUUCUUCCUUUCUUCUCCUUUUUCCUCCUUUCUUCUCCUUUUUCUUCUUUUCUUCUCCUUUUUCUUCUUUUCUUCUCGUUUUUCUUCUUUUAUUCUACUGGCCGGAGUGUUGGGGAGAAGGGGCGGGGGGCUUACCGGCCGGAGGUGUCGACAGCGCGCGGCGAGGAGGACGGCGGCGCGCGGCGAGAAGAACGGCGGCGGCGAGGAGGACGACGGCCACGGCGAGGAGGACGGCGGGCGGCGGCGAGGAGGACGGCGGGCAGCCUGACAGCGUCGUCGAGGUCGUCGGUGUGCCGCGCCGGGCAGGAGAACGAGAGGAAGAAGAAGAGAAAUGGACGAUUUGGGUUGGAAUUUUUCUAAGUCCCGCUUAUAUAGGUGGAUCUUUAGUCCCGGUUCGGGGCUCGAACCGGGACUAAAGACCCCCUUUAGUCCCGGGUGGAGCCACCAACCGGGACUAAAGGCCCUNNNNNNNNNNNNNNNNNNNNNNNNNNNNNNNNNNNNNNNNNNNNNNNNNNNNNNNNNNNNNNNNNNNNNNNNNNNNNNNNNNNNNNNNNNNNNNNNNNNNUUUGAUACUGAAAAGGACUUCAAAGAAGAUUUCCUUCUCUUCCUUAGUAAGAGCGUAGCUGGCACACCCUUGAAACUACCCUGGAUGCAUGCCAUCUCUUCCUUUAUGACGUUCCUGGUCCUCCCGUGCUUCCGGUGUAUCUUUUGACUUCCCAUACAAGCCCAGGAAGCCUAGAAUAUUCACGCCGAGAUUCUUCGUCAGGUGCAUCACGUCGAUUGCCGAGCGGACCUCAUGGACUUCCAAGUAGGGUAGCUCCCAAAAUAUAGAUUUCUUCUUCCACAUGGAUACACGCUUAUCAGGGCCGUUAGGAACAGGUUGGCUGCCAGGACCCUUUCCAAAGAUUACUUUUAAAUCUUUGACCAUAUCAAAUACUUCAGCACCAAUACGGAUGACAGGCUUCCCCCGGGGUUCUGCCUUGCCAUUGAAAUGCUUGCCUUUUUUCUUUAAGGGAUGCUUGGGUGGAAGAAAACGACGAUUGUACGGAUACACAUUCUUCCUACAUUUGUCAAGAUAUAUACUUUCUGUCUGAUCCAAACAGUGUGUGCAUGCAUUGUAUCCCUUGUUUGACUGUCCUGAAAUGUUACUAAGAGCAGGCCAAUCAUUGAUGGUUACGAAAAGCAACGCUCGAAGGUCAAAGUCCUCUUGUUUGUGCUCGUCCCACACACGUACACCUCGUUCGGCCCACAGCUGUAAAAGUUCAUCAACUAAUGGUCUUAGUUACACAUCAAUAUCGUUGUCGGUUUGCUUUGGACCUUGUAUAAGCACUGGCAUCAUAAUGAACUUCCGCUUCAUGCACAACCAAUGAGGAAGGUUGUAGAUGCAUAGAGUAACGGGCCAGGUGUUGUGACUGCAACUCUGCUCCCCAAAAGGAUUCAUGCCAUCUGUACUCACACCUAACCAUAAAUUCCUUGCGUCAGCUGCAAAUCUCGGGAACUCUCUCUCGAUUUUUCUCCACUGCCGGCCAUCAGCGGUGUGCCUCAACUUAUCGUCUUUCAUACGAUCUUCCAUGUGCCAUCGCAACAACUUCGCAUGAUCUUUAUUUCUAAACAGACGUUUCAACCAUGGUAUUAUAGGAGCAUACCACAUCACCUUGGCAGGAACCCUCUUCCUGGGUGGCUCGCCCUCGAUAUCUGCAGGGUCAUCUUUUCUGAUCUUAUACCGCAAUGCAGUGCAUACCGGGCAUUUAUCCAUAUUCUCAUACUUCUCACCGCGGUAGAGGAUGCAGUCAUUAGGGCAUGCAUGUAUCUUCUGCACGUCUAAUCCUUGAUGGCAGACAAGCUUCUUUGCUUCGUACAUGCUGGCGGGCAAUUCGUUCUUUCUUGGAAGCAUCUUCUUCAUCAGUACCAGCAACUUUUCGAAUGACGAGUCAGUCACACCGGUCUCUGCCAUCCAAUUCAGCAAUUCCAGUGUGCUACCCAGCUUCUUCUGGCCAUCUUCACAAGUUGGGUACAACAAUUUGUUGUGGUCCUGUAACAUCUGCUGGAACUGCAACCUCUCCUUUUCUGUGUCGCAACCUCGCCGUGCAUCAGAAAUGACCCGGCCAAGAUCAUCAGCGGGCUCAUCUGGUUCCCGUUCUUUAUGCUGAUCUUCUUCUUCAUUGUCUUCCAUUGCGGUAUCAGCAUACUCAGGGAACAUAGAUCGGUAGUUGUCAUCAUCGUUCUCUUCUUCUUCAUCGUCGUCUUCCAUCAUAACCCCUCUUUCUCCGUGCUUGGUCUAAACAUUAUAGCCCGACAUAAAACCGGACCGAAGCAGGUGGCUUUGAAUGACUCUUGAGGAAGUGUAAUCCUUCUCAUUCCGACAUUCAACANNNNNNNNNNNNNNNNNNNNNNNNNNNNNNNNNNNNNNNNNNNNNNNNNNNNNNNNNNNNNNNNNNNNNNNNNNNNNNNNNNNNNNNNNNNNNNNNNNNNNNNNNNNNNNNNNNNNNNNNNNNNNNNNNNNNNNNNNNNNNNNNNNNNNNNNNNNNNNNNNNNNNNNNNNNNNNNNNNNNNNNNAAAUACAAUCACGAUCCUUAAAAUUAGUAUCGCACGGUCUAAACGAGGAAAUAUAGUUGCUAACCUUUUAGAAUAAGUNNNNNNNNNNCCUCUGAAUGACUCUUGAGGAAGUGUAAUCCUUCUCAUUCCGACAUUCAACACAUGGACAAAACAUAGAGCCACCACCAUGCUUGUUCGCAUCGGCUGCAUCUCGAAAAGAAUGCACGCCUUCUCUGUAAGCGGCUGUGCGUCGAUCACCGUACAUCCAUGGAUGGCUCAUCUGUGUUAUACGACAGUAUAUCNNNNNNNNNNNNNNNNNNNNNNNNNNNNNNNNNNNNNNNNNNNNNNNNNNNNNNNNNNNNNNNNNNNNNNNNNNNNNNNNNNNNNNNNNNNNNNNNNNNNAGGUGUGGCCGGUGUUGGGCCGCAGACGAUGUGUUGUUGGUGCUUGCUAUGUCGUGGGAUGCAUGUCGGUGGCGUGCUCGAGGAAGAUGGCUUCAGUUUCUUCAUUGAAGCGGUGCAGGCCGCCCUUGUCACGGUUGGGGUACAUUGCGGAUCCCUCAUGCUGCCCCGAGGACAGCAAAUCUGGAAGGGUGAGCGUGGAAGGAGGUCUGGUGGCUAUCGAGCGGCGGAUCGGGGUGGCGGAGGUCCGGUGGGGCUCCUGGGAAAUGGGACGGCAGCCUUCAGGGUCUGCCUCGGCUGGAUCUGGAGAUACGAGGUACCGCCCAUGGAGGCCGCAGCUUCGGCGGCGGUGUAUGGGCAGGUGGCCCAUACACGGGCAUUUGGGUGUCGCCGGUUGGCCCCAUCCCUGGACGGCUCGACGAUUUUGGGGGCUAAUACAGUGAGGAUCAGGCCCUCGUUGCCGACGUCCUCCUUGUCACGUGGACCGGGGGUCCGGCCCUAUGCCAGUGUCACCCAUGCCAAGGUGUGGCGUUCGGCGGACCUCGUGGACUUGUAGUGUUGGGGAGGAAGUUUGGAUGCCGGGGUGGCGGGCUACAUGGGUGGCUUCUCGGCAAGUCUCGGUGUAGUUGGUGUUGACGACAUUCUUUGGCCAUGAGAAUGGCAAUGGGUGUUGUGNNNNNNNNNNUGGGUGUAGGUCGUCCUCAUUGGUAGCUUAGCCCUAGUCUGGAUAUGGUGCUAGCGACCCGUGGUGAUGGGGUCUCCAUCAUGGAGUUUCUUUAAUGUAGUGGGUGUUGGGGGCACGGCGAAAUCUUUGCGCCAUGGCACCGGCGGUGACAUCACAUGUGGGUAUUGUGUUCCUCUUGGGGCUCCCUCGCGGUCCUCUCCUUUCCCUCCAGAUGUAAGUGUGAAAACCUCUGUUUGGCUCAGCUAGCGCGGCGAACGUGGCGCUUCACGUUGUCACCCUCUUGGGGGGCAUCGCCGGUGAGAUUGGGUCCUCGGGCACACAAUGACGGUCUCAUGUGCUUCUUCUCGACAACCGGUUGAUGGCGUUAGCGUUUUUAUCUAGUUUUGUCAAUUUGUCUUUUGACCAGCCUUUGAGGAUUUCCUCAACACCUUGUAUCAUGGACUUCGUAUCUGUGUGGUUUGCCGUAUCUAUAAAGGGGAGCUAAAGCCUAUUUCGAAGAUUAUUCCACAAGCAGGCAUCGUUUUAGAAGUAGAGAAUUUCUGAUAAAAGUAGAAUUAGUAAUUGAAAAAAAUGGAUGUCCUCAUUGUCAAACCCAAAUGCUUUGCAAAUUUUCAAGAGAAAAGCUCAGGCAUUUUGACAUCUGAGGAAAAUAAAACGGAACGCACAAUGUUACCUCUAAAUGGUAGGCUUAAUUUUGUCUUUUUUUACCGACGAAGCCCCGCUAUCCUGUUUUGCAUGAAAAUUUUCAAGCACGCUGGUUAGACUAACAUGAAUAUCCACACAAAUAUUUUUAAUAUUUUAACUAUUUAUUUUGAAUUUACUGUUCACUUGCGAGCGUAUGCUUCCUAGAGCCAGAAAGGCCCUCCUGAUGGAUGCCAAAUAAAAUUAUAAUAUAUGUGAAGAGGGUUGGAUGUUAGCUCCGGGAUGACCGUCCGUGUUUGGUUUCCGUGUUGAAGAUGGCCUUAUGUCGNNNNNNNNNNNNNNNNNNNNNNNNNNNNNNNNNNNNNNNNNNNNNNNNNNNNNNNNNNNNNNNNNNNNNNNNNNNNNNNNNNNNNNNNNNNNNNNNNNNNUCCAUACGACAUUCUGCAACAGUAUAAAAUUUAAAACACACGCAUUCUCUAACAGAAAACAAAUGGUUAAUCGAAGGGUUGGACCCAUCACUGCGCAGUUGGCAAAGCCAACAAGUUCUGGCCUAGCAAAGUAUUCUCUCUUCCCUGGUCGAUGUAAACUCUGAAGACAAGAAAGAACCAUGCGCUAUGUGGCUGAGAGCGACUUCCCGCCACCAUAAUCAACCCGAUGCUCAACCUGGCCUCCAUGGUAUCACACGCACCCAUUUCAAGCAACAACAGCAGAUUGAGGUGCACAUCGUGCGCACGGCCUCUAGCUCAUUUGGUAGGGCGCAAGGCUAAUUAGCCUUGAUGAAGAAUUUUGUUUGUAUGAAGGGAACUUUUAUUAACUUAAAAUGUAGCAUGAAGUGAAUACAAUUCAUGAUGACCAAGACGCGGCCUCUACAUAGCUUGAUGGACAUAGCCAAACACACACAGUCUAAAACAAGACAAAAAGAUUAAAAAACGGACAUGUCGGCACUAGUAAGGUCAAAUAGGACCGUCACUAUGCCUAUUGAUGAACCAAUAUGGAGGUUAUGAUGCCAUUCAUGUUGGGAAAAACCUCCAUAGCCAUCCACUCCAAUUGCGUACACACCACCUUGAAUAGCGGUUGGUACUCCGUGCGGUGAAAUAUAGACCACGUAUGAAGGGAGUCCAUACAAUAAAAAAUAACCUGCAAAGGAGAAGAUUUUUCGUAAUUAAAAACCACAUCAUUUCUACAUAACCAAAACAACCAUAAUAAGGCAUUAGCUCACACCCUUAAUAGCAGUUUGAACCUAUAAGGAAUGCCGUCCAACCAGUGAUAAAAAAUAUUGACAACACACGUGGGUGGUUAUAGAUUAGACAAUAUUUGGAUGAUUGACCAUGUAGAAUGCGGAAACAUGCAUUUGAAAAAGUGGUGUCUCAUUGUCCCGUCAUGAGUACAAAAACCACACGUCUUGCUUUGUUGCCAAUUGCGACCGGCGAGGGUAUGUUUGGUCAGCAUCACUCCUUUCUGAAGAUACCAUAUGGUACAGAGAGUAGAAUUUUUGACUUCCAUAUUUUCUCGUUAUUAUCUAUGGAUACCUUCGAAUGUGUGAGCACAUGAUACCGAGAGACGACUCUGAUGGAUCCAGAUUUUGUGAGGUUCCAAUGAAAUACAUCUCAUUCUUAUGUCAGGUUAAUCGUAUCCAAUCGGGACAACCUUGAUGGAGAAUGCCAUCCGUUUGUUCCUGGCUUCUGGUUUUUCACAUGCACUUGCAGGAUCUUGUAAUGAAGAUGCUUCAUCUACGAAACUCAAGCAUAAAUAUGUGUUUAACUCUCAUCUUUCUCUAUAAGAAGAACCCAAAGUCGAUAAAAAAACAAGAUCAUUGAAUCACCAUGUCUUUUAUUCAUCACGGAAUAAAACAGCUUCCUCACGGGGGUAUUAUUUUAUUUUAGGAGUGCACAAUAUGCAGGCACUUUAGUACUUAGACAAAGACAUAAGUAUAUAUCCCUUUAUCAUAGAUAGUUCACAGGUCGGGGUAAUUGUGUUUCACCAGACGAGCAAGUGGGAGACCAUCGGGCAUCGGAGCCACAGGACAAACAGUAAGCCCGUUUGUUAUUUUCACCUGGCUCGUUCCACUGCUGAAAAUCAAGUCAAGCAGCGCACCUGCAGCGAUCCCAAUUACCACACCAAUUCCGAAUCCGACGACUGCUCCGAUUACCGUGACAGCUAUAGAAGCGAUUUCGAUGUUAAGUGCUAUGAAUCCAGCUUCUAUAGCAGUUGUUGCUAGAUCUCCCACCACAAGGCUAACUACUGCAGUUAAUGCAUUCACUGAAUUCCUAACCGCUGCCUCCAUCCUGUCCUCUGCCGUGAAUAUGUCCCACACCAUUACACCUGCUGUAAAAAGCAACACUACAACCCCGACUUUUCCCAAAGCUUCGAAUGUGUAAGUCACCACGGGUUUUCCUUGACCGGCUUGUGCAAUAAUGUUGUCAUAUACCUGCAAAACAAGCAGUGAUAUCCUGUAUCAAUUUCGCACCAUACAUAGGUUAAAACAUGGACUUGAAAUCACCAAAUGCAACUACUUCAAUUCAGUUUAGUUUAGUACAUGAAAUUGGAGCUCAUAAGAAUACGCCAUAUAUGUAUAUUUCUAUAUAUAUCUUGACUAUUGAUUAGUUGAAACAUAUUUUUUUAUGUCCCGAUUUCUUUCCUUUUAAAACCUUUUGUUCACACUGCAGUACCACAAAUAAUCUAUUUAUAAAAAAAUAGAAUAUUAUUUAAAUACUGAGACAAAAAUUGUACUAUGAGAGACCUUAAACAUUGUUAAUUAAGAAAUUAAUUUAUGAUAAACCUGUAAAGGGCAAGGUUUAGAGUAUAAGUUAGUUCAUACCCGUAGCUUUUGUAUAUCACCCAAGUUCUUGAAAGCACCCCUAAAACCAAGUUUUCCCAUAUUACUGCAAGUACAGUGGGACAAGGAGAAAACAUAUUAGUGCAAUUACA